CUCUCUCCCUCUCUCUCUCUCUUUCUCUGUAGUGCAGAUGCAGCUCAGGGAAACGCAGGGAGCAUGAUAAAAACCCGCAGCUAUAUGCCUUGCGAAAUCCUGUCUUUCCUACUGAUUUCCCUCUUCCCCUCCUCUCAUUAUUCAAAGGGCAGUGUGCUGCCUCUGUCCCCAGUCACUGCAGUUUCUGGAUCGGGAUUUCAGGCUUCCUCUCCCGGAUUGCCAGCCAGUAACAGCACGGUAAGAACAGGGCACUAUGUGCUGCAGCUUUAAUGAUGGGCUCUUUAUGGGGGAAGUGCUUGAUGUCUAUGCCCAUCUCCUCCAAAUCUAUCAUUUCUGGCAUGUCAGACACAGACAGAAUCUGCUGAUCUCCAUUUCUCUGUUCUUGUAAGUAGUGCUAUUCUAUGUAUUUUUAAACAGGUGACAAGGAAUCUGAACAUUCUAUGGCCCCAUAACCAUGCUUUAUUAAUAGACCACACACAUUGAUCAGUUUUCAUGAUAUUGUCUGCCUCUGUCUGUCUGUCUAUCUAUCAAUCCAUCUAUCCAUCCAUCUAUCUUUACCCAACUGUGGUUUAUCCUAGCUUUUGAAUGUGGCUAAAGGCCUAUUACAUUAUUGCAACUACAUUUAUAUAUGUAUGCACCUCUAUAUAAUGCUAUACGCUAUGCUAAUCAGACUAAUUGCCCUCUGUGACAUCUUAUAGAAAAAAUAUCUUAGAUAGUUAACCCAUGAAUAUAAAUGAGUUUGGGCUUUUUUUUUUUUCUCCAAUAUUGAAAAUGUAUUUUCAAAAGAAAAAACUUAUGCAUGUGUGUAUAAAUAUGUGUGUAUAUUUAUUUUUUACCUAUGCAUAAAAUAUACAGAUACACGCAAAGUUGUAAUUAAUACAGUAUUUUCAGUCAACUAUUUAAUUGUUGGUGGGGAUGAAAAGCUGCACAGAAUGCUCAGGAUCCGAGAUUCUCAUCUAGCGUUGAAUUUAUUAACCUUUUAUUUUUUUUUUCUUGCAUUAGGCAUUAACAAUGCUAGAAAUCAAACUCACUUAGUAACAAUACACAGCAGUCCAAAACGAUGUGUGUUGCAAAGUGCAUGACGCAGCAUUGUGUGUUGGAAUCUCUAACCACUACUGAGUUCUUGUACAGUAACCUGGUGGAAUUCCUGUGGGAAUGUACAGUGGCAAGCUGCGUUCCUAUACAGACACUCAUUUAAAUAGCCAAAAGAGCCUUAACUGGAAUGCCUCCGGGGGACAUAGGAUUUCCUUGUGCUGCUCUGUGAGAUUGCAGAGUAAAUGAAUCAGCAAUGUGAUCAAGGCCUCUUAUCCUUGCCUGAGGGGUUUUUAUUUUCAGCAAGGCCCCUGUGCUAUCUAGAGGAACUUGUUGUCAUUCAUGCCUUUUGGGAAAAGCGACCAAUUUUGGGGGAUUUGCUAAGCAUUAUUUCACCUAGACCAAUGGUUCCCAAACGUUUUUAGUUUCAAGGCGCCUUUAAUAUUUCAGUAUUUUUCCAAGGCACCCCAAGUCAAAAUUUCUAGGUUGUAUAUCUGUACAGCGCUGCCGCAUUUACUGGCGCUAGAGUGUAAUGUACAGUGUUGGUGUUUGAAGGGAUGCUUGUAUACAUUUAUUGUGUUUUAAUACAGGGGUGUGUUUGUAUGUAAUUUUUGCGUUUGAUUGCAGGGGUGUGUGUGAAUGUAAUGUUCACUUUUAAAUGUGGAUGUGCAUUUGUGUGAAGUAUUUGUGUUUGAGUGAAGGGGUGUGUUUGUUUGUAAUGUUUGUGUUAGAUUUCAGGAGUGUGCUUGUAUGUUGUGCUGUUGUUUGACUGCUUGGAUGCAUGCACAUUAACACACAGAUGCAUAUAAAUAUACUGACACAUACACACAAAUCAUAUAGACACCGACACACACACAUAGAUACACACCGACAUAUACACACAUGCACCCUGACACACACAAACAUUGAUACAUGCCCACACCAUGACACAGAUACACACUGACAUAAAAACACACACCCUGACACACAGAUGCACAUACACAGAUAUGUGCGUGCACACAUACACAGAAGCACACUGACAUAUAUAUAUAUAUAUACAUACAUAGAAACGUAGAAUGUGGUGGCAGAUAAGAACCAUUUGGCCCAUCUAGUCUGCCCAAUUUUCUAAAUAAUUUCAGUAGUCCCUGGCCUUAUCUUAUAGUUAGGAUAGCCUUAUGCCUAUCCCACGCAUACUUAAACUCCUUUACUGUGUUAACCUCUACCACUUCAGCUGGAAGGCUGUUCCAUGCAUCCACUACCCUCUCAGUAAAGUAAUACUUCCUGAUAUUAUUUUUAAACCUUUGCCCCUCUAAUUUAAGACUGUCCCCUUGUUGUGGCACAUUUUCUUCUUUUAAAUAUAGUCUCCUCCUUGAUUGAGUUGAUUCCCUUUAUGUAUUUAAAUGUUUCUAUCAUAUCCCCCCUGUCUUGUCUUUCCUCCAAGCUAUACAUGUUAAGAUCCUUUAACCUUUCCUGGUAAGUUUUAUCCUGCAAUCCACUGAAGGUGUGUAAGUAAUAGAGAGGUUUAUUGGAGAACAGAGUAACGUUUUGACCUCACAAGGUCUUUGUCAAGCUUGAACUCGGUGAGGUUGAAACGUUUUACACACCUUGAGUGUCUGGUUCAUUCUGUUUUUUACUGCCAUCCAUUGUCAUAUACUGUGUGAUGAUAUAGAGGGAAAUUUUAAUAUGUAAUAGGAAUAAAACACGGAACAGUACUUACAUGGAGUAUUAUACCAUUUAAACCAUCAUUUUUACACAAUAUGUGCAACAAGAUGCUGUAAAUUAAACAGUUAUCUCUUUGGCAUCCUUGAAACGUUUAAAUGUAGUGCAUAUUGGUUAAAUAGUAUAUAUGACUGGGAUUAUGAUACAGUUCAUUGAAAUGUUACCAGAAAGUAGAGUUCAGUACAAAUAUAAUUAACUAGGUACUCCUGCUAAGAGAGAAAAACCAAUAAAGUAUAUGCAUUGUCACUUUUUCAUUUUGUGUAUAUGAUUGUCAUACUUAUCUGUUCCGGAGCUCCCCGAUCCGGCGGUGGGUCAGAUGCUCCAAGCUCUGCGUGCGUGUCUAUUUGUACAGAGUUGCGCCAACAUCAUAACAGCACGACUCAAAGUGCCGAACUGAUCGAUUUGCACAAUCUGAAACUCCGGAAUUCGGCUUUCAGACUCUAAACUUAUGCAGACCAAUAAGAUUGGUUCCCUGGCUUUAUAAGCCAGGGCCUUUUUAGUAGCAAGUUUCCCUGUUGUGGUUCAUGUUGACCCAAGAGUGCGUAUUAUAUUGUAUUUGGAUUUCUUGUUACCGACUUUGGCUUGUUUAUUGUUUCACCGCUUUCUGUGUUUCUGGCUUGUCUUAUUAUUUAUGCUGUUCUCUCCUACGUUGGAUCUUGGCUUCCUGACUACUCUUUAAGUUAAAUCUGGCCAUUCUAAGGCCCAGUAAUACGUUAUACCUCUCCUUUAGCAGAUUAGGGUCUGUGUGUUUUGGGUUCUCCUACUUUAGCCGUGACAAUGAUGACCUUUUUUAAUAGACCUCUUUAUAUAAAACCGAGAAAGCAUAAAUCAAGAAAUGUUUUUCUGGAGCCAUGUUGUUUGAUAUUGAGUUUCGAACAGGCCGUAUCACAUGAGAAGUGUGAAUGUAUAGUAAUUUAAAGAGGGACUGUCACUUUCCUAAUAUUAGCCCAAGCAAAUAGCUAACUAAAGGUUAGCCACUGGUUGAGCUAUUUUAUUUUUCUUUUAAUUCUUCAAAGUAUGUAAAUUUAUUAGGCCUCCCAGUAUGGCACUACUGAAGAAAAUGCCAAAUGCGCAUGUGCUCAUACAGACUUUCUCCAUUGAAUGGCUGAUCACACUUGAGCACGCCAUAGAUAUUACAGGGCAAUAUCACAACUACAUGGAAGUGCGACAAAGGUAGGUAUGUUUUUUAUUUGCCUCUACUGCUGGAAGUGACAGUUCUCUUUUAAGGUUUGUACCAGGAUCUCUUAGUUGAAUGUGAAAGAAGAGCAAGUUUACAAAACGGAAGAGCUCUUUCACCACUGAGUGCUUUUAUUUUCAUAAAUAUAUACAUAGAAGAAAACGUUAUAACGUGUUAAGAGACUAAAUCAUUUUUACAGGUCUUACUAUUUUUCAUUUAGGUUCAAACCAUUAGCUUGCAAAUGAAAGUUGCAAUUCUAUAACAUACAUUAAAAGAAAAUUUAAAUAACACAAAUCGUCAGGUACCCUGUUGAUAUAUAUGAAAAUGUUGAUAAUUUUUAUACUGUGAAAAUGAAAAACGGUUGUUUUUAUAUAAGCUACUGGAGCUUCCAAGUGUGCUUGGAGCACUCAAACCCUCUUCCCAAAGGCCUGUACUUAUAAAGACUAGCAGGCUACAGUAGAAGGAGAGGGUGAAACAUCAAGGGGUAGUUUAAACACCAUAACCACUACAGUGUACUAUGGUGGUUGCCAGGUUUGAAGAUUUUACUUUGCAUUGGCAUAUUUUAUACAUAAAAAUAACCUUCCACAAUUUGUGAUAUAAUACCAGGACCCUUUUAAUUCUGGGUUGUCGCAUCACCUUGCGGUACCGCACACUCCCUCCAGUGCCACGUGUUCAUGACACCUGGCACUUCCGCAUUCAGCCUCUGAUGCUGAAUGCACGUACAGGCGUUGUGACGUCAUUCAUGGCGCAGAAUGCUCACACUCUGCCCUUUUUUAUAUUUAAAGUUACAUGGCGCCUUCUCUUGACAUGUUACUUCCAUAUUGUCAGGAUCCUAUCCUGACAACCAAAGUUAUGUUUCCUUUUUUCUUUUAUUUCUACAAAUUCCAGUUUCCCACCACUAACCUCCCUAGUCACUAGUCUAAAUCCACAGUUUCUCUCACCUGCCCAGCGUGAUUAUUAAAUCUGCUAUAAGAAGCCACACCCUGCUAAAUAAAUGGCCUUUACAUUGAAUUAAUGAAGUUGAUCUUCAACCUGAAUGAACGUCUGAUCCUGGCUCCUACAGAGAAAACCUGCUUUAUUCUAAAUAACAUUAAAGGGACACUAUAGUCACCAGUGCAACUACAUGUAUUCCUAACCCUAUAGUGUUAACACGACCAUCUAGCCCCCGAGGGCCCCUCACGCCUCCAUAAAUAUUGUAAAAAUCUUACUGUAUUCAAGUCAGAAGCUGUAAAUCUGCAUGCUGAGACUCAGGAAAAACAAGCAGUCUGCUGACAUGUGAUAGCCUGUUCCAAUCACAGUGCUUCCCUAUAGGAUUGGCUGAAACUGACUAGGAGGCAGAUCAGGGGCAGAGCCAGCAUGAUUCAAACACAGCCCUGGCCAAUCAGCAUCUCCUCAUAAGGAUGAAUUGAAUCAAUGAAUCUCUAUGAGGAAAGUUCAGUGUCUGCAUGCAGUGGGAGGAGAUACUGAAUCACAGGAUGCUGUGCACAGCAGAUCUGAGUGGAUGAAAGCAUAUUAUGCCUCCAUCAACUCAGAAGUCCCUCUGGUUCACUCUGAGUGACUGCAACUGGAGGUGUUCCUAGCUUUCAAUGUAAACACUGUAUUUUCUCAGAAAAUACAGUGUUUACAUGAGAAAGGCUGCAGGGAGCUAUAGUUCUCACCUGAACAACCUCAUUAAACUGAAGUUGUUCAGGUGACUAUAGUGUCCCUUUAAACCCAACCUGAUUUAUGGGAACAACCUGCUUCAUUUCCAAUCUGCUUACAACCAAUAAGCUUGGGGACAGACCUGAUCUACAAUACCUCACUGGACUUCGAUACCUUCUUGCGUUGUUUCAAACCUACAUAACACCUACCUUAUCUACACUACCAACCUGCAUAACACAAACAUUCCUGUUAUUUUGCAACUAUCCUGAAUGACCCUGUUACAAUUAUCUGAAAUUUGCAGUACUUCAUCCAAACCAAAGGGGUCGAUCACCUAAACAUCUAAAUAUCCUGUAUUUCCAAAACCUAAAUAUUCUGUUUAGUUCUGUCUUAUUAUAUUUGUUUACCUGUAACCCAUAUUUUCAUUUUAUAGGUUUUCCUUCACUUUAUUUACCUAUAACUUCAUUUUUCUUUCUACCUAAUAUCCUGUCUGGAACAUAUUGCCUAACUUUCUAUUCUUGUUAUUCCUCUAUAUAUUUUACCUAUAAUCUCGCUUAUAGGUUCUUCUUUCUUCCUUUGACCUAUAUUGUCCUUUAUAUGUGUUAUUUCCUAAGUAACCUGUCCUGGGCAUAUUUCCUAACCCUCUAUUAAAUAUUCUCCUUUUUACUUUCAUUCCUUUCUAUUAUUUCCACUUCCCCUUUAAUUCCUGCUGCAUUUAUUAUUACAAGAAAACCAUGUCAAAGAUUAUAAAUGAAGAGCCUAAAGUUAACCCCGGUAUAAGUCUCUUAUGUGACCUGAUCAAGGACCUGACAUAUAUGACAUCACACAGACCUGUAACCAAUCACUACACAGUAUACGAUAUUUAACUGUAGGGUAUUUUCUUGGUUGUUCUUAGUUUCAUGCCCUGUCAGUGCGUUAUAUUAUUUUACUUAUUCAGUUUUCUCAACUUAGCUUUUUUUUUUUUUGACCGUUCUUGCUCUCUGCAACCCUGACCUUGCUUGAUUCAUGAUUCUGUGCACUUCUGUUGCCCUGACCUUGAUAACGUUCAUUCUGUGUCUGCUUGCAGACAUUCUGACUUAUUUUUCAGUGCUAUCCCGGCCAUUCUAAGGACUGGUAUGCAUAUCUACCUUGUUUCAAUCUAGGUAUGUGUAUUAGGGUCAGGUCAGCCCUCAUCUGGGUAGUCGUAUCGUAGAUCGUAGUAGGUUACUUUUUUCCUUAGUUUAUCCGGAAGGGGAUAUUGUUUAGGUUACAUGUAGCACUGUAAGCAUUUCAAGGUUCUCACUAAGGUGAACUAUGGAUGCCACUACAAGCACAUGUUCAACUACAGAACACAAUACAAAAUCUAUUAGAGGAACCUGCCAUUCUCACAAUGUGUUCACAUUCACAUAGAUGCAGAUCCAGUUUAUACAUUGUACUAGUGAAUUUGAAAGGAAAUGCUUUUCAAUACAUAAUGCGUGUAGGCAGCAUGGUGCUUAAUCCAGAAUAAAAAAAUCACAACAGCAAAAAAGCUGUUAAUAGCCUGCUAGGACUUGUAAUGCAAAAUUUAUUUUUAUUAGUGAUGGUUGUUUCAGAUUCUCAGAUUCCUAUACAAUUUUUCAUCAGGGCAAAGUUUCACAUAUAAUUCCUAUAUAUAUAUUAUACAUACAUACAACUGAUCAUUGAAGUGCACUUGCCAAGGCUGAAACUUGUCCAUGAACCUGCCUGUGGGUGCGCAUGUGCGCAUAUGACUCCGCCCUGUGAUGCCUCCCAGAGUGUACGUCUUUGCCAUGGUGAUCUGAAUGCUUUUUGUGUGAUCACAUCAUGGCUAAAGAUAUAUACAUACAAACACAGUGUUAGUGAUUACAAUGUGCUGGAGGGCUGAAAAAUUUAGUUGAAACAACUGCUACAGCACAUCACACCGUUCAAGACUCAAUUUGGUUUUGGUCUAACUGAAAGGACCUCCGAGUGCAAACGUGCCAGUGGGUCUUUGUACACGCAUGAAACAGUGUUUCCGUAGUGACAGGGAUGCCAUGUUCUGAUUGCUGCAAAAUUAAAAACAUGAACAACUAAUGUGACACUAAAACAAGCUAAUUAAACAGUGAGGAUACCGGGCAAAAACAUUAGGUUAUACUUUGUUAUUUAAAGGACCACUAUAGGCACCCAGACCACUUCAGCUUAAUGAAGUGGUCUGGGUGCCAGGUCCAUCUAGGAUUAACCCUUUCUGCUGUAAUCCAGCCUCUAGUGGCUGUCUCAUUGACAGCCGCUAGAGGCACUUCUGCGAUUCUUACUGUGAUUUUCAAAGUGAGAAGACGCCAGCGUCCAUAGGAAAGCAUUGAGAAUGCUUUCCUAUGGACUGGCUGAAUGCGCACGCGGCUCAUGCCGCGCAUGCGCAUUCAGCCGAUUAUGGGGAAAGGGGGGGGGAGAGUCCCCAGCAUCAAGGGAGCCUGGCGCUGGGAAAAAGGUAAGGGAUUAACCCCUUCAUCACCCUAGAGCCUGGUGGGAGGGGGGCCCAGAGUGUGAGGGGGACCCAAGGACCCUAUAGAGCCAGGAAAACAAGUAUGUUUUCCUGGCACCAUAGUGGUCCUUUAAAAUUUGGGAUAUGGCCUAUGGCCAUGAAUUUAAGCAUAGGGGGAGUAUGCCUAAAUUAAAAUAAAUGCUUUAGUAUUAGUAAGUCUGAUGUACAAUCUCGGUAUGCUAUUCGGUUAGAAGACCUAUGGUUGCGUAUGCAUUCACGAAGGGGUAGAUCUGUCUCCCCAACAGAUGCAAGUCCAUAGGGGUACACCAAUUUAUAAAUCACAAAAUCCAUAGUACACGUGAUCUGGUGCUGUACAGUGCCACAAUGUAAGUGGAAAAAAUGCUUCAGUUUAUAUGUCCAGAUGUAACACACAACCAUAAUUCACAAAUUCCUUGGUAUUGUCGUAGCAAUGUACAGUAUCUGUGUUAACCAGUAGAUCUUUUGAGUUCUUUUCUCUACCGAAACCCAACAUAGGAUUUAUUUUCUUUAAAGCAGGUAGGGUUGGAUCCUUGGCUACGUUGCACCAAUUUUAAAUAUAAUAUUCUUUAAUUGGCCUGACGUUGUAGUGAAAUGCUGGAAAAAUAAAUCUAUUGGCUUUGUUUUUUAUGUCACCAUCAUUCUGGCACUUGCAUAGGGUCUCCUGUAGGAUUACAUCCUUUUACCCUCUCUGUUUGAAGUUUUUUCACAUUUGUGAUAUUUGCUGACCCACAGCCACAGCACUGGAGUUGUUUAUGUACCCUCUUAAAAAUUGAGAAUAAGGCAACAAGGCUUUAAGAUGAUGUGGCAUGCAGCAAUGUGGUCCUGCCAGUUAGUUUCCCGUACAAUGUGUACGUGAGGUGUGAGCCAUGAACACAUACAAAAUUAUAUAGGUAUCCCACUAUACUUGUCAUGGUGCUGCACUCUGGCCAAAGAACAUCUGCCAAACAGGAGUGCGCUCAAUGGACUUUCACAUGCAGCAUAAAAAUGAUUAAUAAAAAAAGCCUUUAAUCCCAUUUCAUCCUGUUUGGCCUCACACUCCACCAACCCAGAGAACAAGUCCAAGCCUCAGUGGCGCCAAACGAUUGAGUGGUGGAACGCAAGCAAAGCCAAGUGAACAGAUGGGUGCAAGAAAGAGAUGAACAGGGAUAGAUUAGAUAAGAGUGUGUAAAAUGGGUAAUGAGCACUGUGAAGCACAAAAGCAUAUUUCGAUCCUAGCACCAUGCUGAGAGAGCACUAUCACUAAUUAUAGAACAUAGCAACAGUAACCAUACACUGCAACAUUCUAUCAAGUUAACAAUUCAUGCAACAUAGUAACAUGCAGAGAAGCCUAGUAUCACCGAGGUGAGAACAUAGCUGUCAUGCCCGGAUUGUGUAUUUAACAGGCUAAUGAAUGUAAGGAAGCACAGUUUCUAAAUACAAUAAAGUAUCAGAUAGCUUAAGGAUACAUAGACAGAAAAGUAUAUGAUAUCGCCAAAUGCAUAAAUCUUUGUAAAACACUACAACGCUAGGCUUACAAUAACAUAAUAAUUCCCUGAAAUGGAGCUGUGAUAUCGGCCCAAAUUAAUAUAUUUUGGACCAUAACAACAUGCAGAGGAACCUCGAUCCCUGCAGUGAGAGCAUAGAUGUCAUAUACCAAAUUCCUACUAUACCUAUUACAGGCUAGCAAAGAAAGUGAAGCAGGGGCACAAAAUAUAAGCACGGUAUUGCGUAAAGGAUCACUAUAGGGUCAGGAACACGAACAUGUAUUCCUGACCCUAUAGUGCUAAACCCACCAUUUAGGUGGUUUGUUCCCCCUUAGCCCCCCUAUGAAAGUUUAAAGGGACACUCCAGGCACCCAGACUACUUCUGCCCAUUGGAGUGGUCUGGGUGCCAACUCCCACUACCCUUAACCCGGCAACUGUAAAUAUUGCAGUUUCCCAUGGGGAAAGCAUUGGAUUGGCUAAAAUCGGCAUGGGGUGGGGGCCAAAUGCCGUUUUGGCCAAUCAGGAUCUCCUCAUAGAGAUGCAUUGAAUCAAGGAAUCUCUAUGAGGAAAAUUCAGCAUCUCCAUGCAGAGCGUGGGGACACUGAAUGGCAGGGCUGCCUACUGUGCAGCCCUGAACCAGGAAGCCCCUAGGCAGGGCCGCCACCAGAAAUUUUGGGGCCCCUGACACAACACAAGGUCUGGGCCCCCUCCUGCCCCCCUCCCACCCGCGAGUCCACCCACAGGACUCCUACCUAGUCCGCUGCAAAUGAUGCAGGACUGAAUGUGGUGUGUAUAGUGGAAGUGAAUUAGAAUGUGUGUAAUGGAUGUAGUAUUUGUGUGUAUUAGAUACUGUUUGUGCAGUAAAUGCAGAGUGUGUGUUUGUGUAGCGGAUGCAGAGUUUGUAUAGUGAACGCAGAGUGUGUUUGAGUAGUGGAUGUAGUGUGUGUUUGUGUAGUGGAUGUAGUGUCUGUGUGUACUAGAUGCAAUGUGUUUAGUGGAUGCAGUGUCUGUAGUGGAUGUAGUGUGUGUAUUAGAUGCAGUGUCUCUGUAUAGUGAAUGCAGAGUGUUUGAAUGUGUGGUGGAUGUAGUGUUUGUACUGUGAAUACAGGAUGUUUGUGUAGUGGAUGCUGUGUGUGUGUGUUAGUGUAGUAUAUGCAGAGUGUGUGUGUGUGUGUGUGUUAGUGUAGUGUAUGCAGAGUGUGUGUGUGUUAGUGUGGUGUAUGCAGAGUGUGUGUGUGUUAGUGUAAUGAUUGCAGUGUGUGUGUUAGUGUAUUGAUUGCAGUGUGUGUGUUAGUGUAGUGUCUUCCCUCUGUAACUCCCACAAGCAAGGCAUGCGUGCCGCAGCAGUUACAGAGAGGGAAGAGCUUGUAAGUACACUUGCAGUCCGCUGGGCCCCCUCUGCAAGUACAGGGAGCCGGGGGCCCGCGGCUGCACCUGCACUGCACAUAUAUAUAGUGAUCAUCGCUAUAUAUAUGUGCAGAGAGUAAUUGUGGGGCCCUGGACUGCCAAAGCAGUCCAGGCCCCCCAGGACCGCCGGGCCCGUGACAACCGUCAUGGUUGUCAACCCCUGUUGGCGGCCCUGCCCCUAGGGGCAAUGUAAACUGCCUUUUCUCUGAAUAUUGUUGACAAAUCUGUCUAAAUCUGUGUUAGUGAGCACUUCUCCUUUGCCGAGAUAAUCCAUCCACCUCUCAGGUGUGGCAUAUCAAGAUGCUGAUUAGGCAGCAUGAUUAUUGCACAGGUGUGCUUUAGGCUGGCCACAAUAAAAGGCUACAAUAAAAUGCCACUCUAAAAUUUGCAGUUUUAUCACACAGCACAAUGCCACAGAUGUCGCAAGUUUUGAGGGAGCAUGCAAUUGGCAUGCUGACUGCAGGAAUGUCCACCAGAGCUGUUGCCUGUGAAUUGAAUGUUAAUUUCUCUACCAUAAGCAGUCUCCAAAGGCGUUUCAGAGAAUUUGGCAGUGCAUCCAACCGGCUUCACAACCGCAGACCACAUGUAACCACACCAGCCCAGGACCUCCACAUCGAGCAUCUUCACCUCCAAGAUCUUCUGAUACCAGCCAGUUCCGUAUGCACAGAAGAGUAUGCAAUAGCUGCGUUCCACCAGACUUCGGGAUACAAUCUGAAAAGAAGUUACCAGAACAAAAGCUAUAGGUAGCUACAUAGAGUUAGAUAUUAAUAGACUUAGAAUCCUAGGGGAGACCAUAAUGUAUAGCUCUCCUAAAUACCACUGCCUCUUGUGGGGGAAAGUAACCCAAUUCUUUCUUUAACCCAGCCACCUGGACAGCUGCUGCAACAAUCAGUUUGCAUAACCAAACAAUUUCUGCACAAAUUGUCCGAAACCGUCUCAGGGAAGCUCAUCAGAGUCUCGACCUGACUGCAGUUCUUCGUCGUAACCAACUUGAGUGGGCAAAUGCUCACAUUUGAUGGCGUCUGGCUCUUUGGAGAGGUGUUCUCUUCACAGAUGAAGCCCGAUUUUCACUAUACAGGGCAGAUGGCAGACAGCGUGUAUGGUGUUGUGUGGGUGAGCGGUUUGCUGAUGUCAAUGUUGUGGAUCGAGUGGCCCAUGGUGACAGUGGGGUUAUGGUAUGGGCAGGCGUAUGUUAUGGACAACGAACAUGGGUUCAUUUUAUUGAUAUCAUUUUGAAUGCACAGAGAUACCGUUAUGAGAUCCUGAGGCCCAUUGUUGUGCCAUUCAUCCACGACCAUCUCCUCAAAAUAUCCAGCAACUUCGCACAGCCAUUGAAGAAGAGUGGACCAACUACCACAGGCCACAAUCAACAACCUGAUCAACUCUAUGCGAAGGAGAUACUCACUGGUUUUCGCCCCCUCCCCCGCCCCCCAGACCUCCCAAUACAGUAAAACUGCACAUUUUAGAGUGGCAUUUUAUUGUGGCCAGCCUAAGGCACACCUGUGCAAUAAUCAUGCUGUCUAAUGAGCAUCUUGAUAUGCCACACCUGUGAGGUGGAUGGGUUAUCUCGGCAAAGAAGUGCUCACUAACAUAGAUUUAGACAGAUUUGUGAACAAUAUUUGAAAUAGGCCUUUUGUGUACAUAGAAAAAGUCUUAGAUCUUUGAGUUCAGCUCAUGAAAAAUGGGGGCAAAAACAAAAAAAGUGUUGCAUUUAUAAUUUUGUUCAGUGUAUAUGGUCAUCUUAGUAUUAGACAGACAUUAUGUGUAACAGUAACUACAAGGGUUGAAAACAACAUUUUUUGGGAUAUUCUGAUAUUUUCUCUGAAAUCAUGUAUGUAAAAGCAAACAGAGCAUCUCGUAAAAAAGCUAACACAAGUUAUAGAAUAUUUUCAGUUUUACUCAAUGGUGUUAUAUCCAGAAAAGUCACAAUUCUCAUAUAAAGAGUCAUUGAUAUGAAAGAAAACUAGCAGCACAUCGGUGAAUAUCAUAGCAGUCUAAAGGCCUACAUAUAUAUAGCCAACCAUAACUGAUGGUGAAUUAAAUAUCAGAAAGGAAAGUAUAUAGUACACGAAAAAGAAAGAGCUCCUCUUGAACUUUAGGAGAAAAUUAAUCUUUUAGUAGGACAGCUAGACCAAUCAAAUAAAAAAAAAAAAAAAGAUCCCAAUAAAGGAGAUUUGGGAAUUCCAAAUCUUGUUAGUUAUUAUAGUGCCUCGGUUUUAGUAAAUGCAUUCAUAGGAUCGCUUUUGUCGCUGGUAAGAUAUUGAGGAUAUUUUGGUAUUCCCAGGCAAGUUGUGUUAUUAUCUUUGGUUGAAGUCUCCACCUAAAUUGCACCUAGAGAGUAGUCACAUUUCACUCCAUGUGCAUUUGGCUUAGAGAAAGCUGGAUACAACUCAUGAAGAUUUUGUAAUGGUUUCAAGAGCAACUCCAGUGGUGGCCUUGACAUUGGGCAUUGUGUCAUUAACUAUUUGAGAAUGAAGCAAACAGGGGAUACGUGAAGUGAGAGAUUUAUUCCAUGGUUUGGCAUCAAGUUUUUUUAACGGCUCUUGGAGCAAUAAUGAAUACCUGCUAAGGUGUACUUUCAAUGUUUACAGUUUAUAAAUUACCUUGGAACAGAUAGUAUUUAGUGAUGUACCGAACGGUUCGCCGGCGAACGGUUCCUGGCGAACAUAGCAUGUUCGCGUUCGCCACGGCGGGCGAACAUAUGCGCGGUUCGACCCGCCCCCUAUUCGUCAUCAUUGAGUAAACUUUGACCCUGUACCUCACGGUCAGCAGACACAUUCCAGCCAAUUAGCAGCACAGCCUCCCUAGCAGACCCUCCCACCUACUGGACAGCAUCUAUUUUAGAUUCAUUCUCAAGCUGCAUGCUUAGUAAGAGGAGGGAAAGUGUAGCUGCUGUUCAUAAGAUAGGGAAAAGCAUAGCUAGGUUAGGGAUAAGGGUAUGCUUUUUUUGGAUUUUUUUUUUCUAUGUAAUGUAAAUGCACUUAGUUGUCUGCCACUGCUGCCAGCUUCUGUGUCAGGCUCACAGUGCCCAUUUCCCCAGUCAGUGCCACCAAUUACAUCUGGUGUCACAAUAGCUUGGAUUUAAAAACAAAAAACUUUUUUCACUGUUAUAGAUUGAAUAGCAGUCAGUUGUCUGCCACUGCUGCCAGCUUCUGUGUCAGGCUCACAGUGCACACUGUGCCCAUUUCCCCAGUCAGUGCCACCAAUUACAUCUGGUGUCACAAUAGCUUGGAUUUAAAAACAAAAAACUUUUUUCACUGUUAUAGAUUGAAUAGCAGUCAGUUGUCUGCCACUGCUGCCAGCUUCUGUGUCAGGCUCACAGUGCAUACUGUGCCCAUUUCCCCAGUCAGUGCCACCAAUUACAUCUGGUGUCACAAUAGCUUGGAUUUAAAAAACAAAAAACUUUUUUCACUGUUAUAAAUUGAAUAGCAGUCAGUGUCCUUAAAGCGGGUGUGUUACGCUAACAGUGGAUACUGACAAGUGCCACUAAUUAGAUCUGGUGUCACAAUAGCUUGGAUUUAAAAACAAAAACUUUUUUUACUGUUAUAGAUUGAAUAGCAGUCAGUGUCCCAAAGCGCGUGUGUUACGCUUAACAGUGGAUACGCCGCUUCGACAAGUGCCAAUUAUUAGAUCCUGUGUCACAAUAGCUUGGAUUUAAAAACAAAAAACUUUUUUUACUGUUAUAGAUUGAAUAGCAGUCAGUGUCCUUAAAGCGGGUGUGUUACGCUAACAGUGGAUACUCUGACAAGUGCCACUAAUUAGAUCUGGUGUCACAAUAGUUUGGAUUUAAAAACAAAAAACUUUUUUUUACUGUUAUAGAUUGAAUAGCAGUCAGUGUCCUUAAAGCGGGUGUGUUAAGCUCACAGUGGAUACGGUACUCAGUGCCACCACUCACUCAUAUCUGGUGUCACAAUAGCUUGCAUUUAAAAACAAAAAACUUUUUUUUACUGUUAUAGAUUGAAUAGCAGUCAGUGUCCUUAAAGCUGGUGUGUUACGCUUAACAGUGGAUACGACAAGUGCCACUAAUUAGAUCUUGGUGUCACAAUAGUUUGAUUUAAAUACAAAAACCUUUUUUUACUGUUAUAGAUUGAAUAGCAGUCAGUGUCCUUAAAGCGGGUGUGUUACGCUAACAGUGGAUACGCUGACAAGUGCCACUAAUUAGACUUGGUGUCACAAUAGUUUGGAUUUAAAAAAAAAAUAAUCUUUUUUCACUGUUAUAGAUUGAAUAGCAGUCAGUGUCCUUAAAGCGGGUGUGUUACGCUAACAGUGGAUACGCUGACAAGUGCCACUAAUUAGAUCUUGGAUCGCAAUAGCNNNNNNNNNNNNNNNNNNNNNNNNNNNNNNNNNNNNNNNNNNNNNNNNNNNNNNNNNNNNNNNNNNNNNNNNNNNNNNNNNNNNNNNNNNNNNNNNNNNNACAAAAAUCAAUGCCGUGUACACGACCACUGAUAGGAGACGCGGAAGGUAUUAAACUGAUCAGAACAAUACUAAACACACCACUCCUAUCUGGUGGCACAUUAGCUUGACCGCGCAGUGAGUGCCCCAAAUUUGCAGUAAGAGGACCGACCAAGCCUCUUCUUCCAUCUCCCUGUUACAAAAAUCAACGCCGUGUACACCACCACCGAUAGGAGACGUGGAAGGUAUUAAACUGAUCAGAACAAUACUAAACACACCACUCCUAUCUGGUGGCACAUUAGCUUGACCGCGCAGUGCCCCAAAUUUGCAGUAAGAGGACCGACCAAGCCUCUUCUUCCAUCUCCCUGUUACAAAAAUCAAUGCCGUGUACACGCCCACCGAUAGGAGACGCGGAAGGUAUUAAACUGAUCAGAACAGUACUAAACACACCACUCCUAUCUGGUGGCACAUUAGCUUGACCGCGCAGUGCCCCAAAUUUGAAUUAAGAGGACCCACCAAGCAUCUUCUUCCAUCUCCCUGUUACAGAAAUCACUGCCAUAUCCAUACAAAUUGUACAGAAUGUCCAGGAUAGUUUUCCAGGGACAAAUGUUGUCGCCUGUUGAACGAGGUGACCUUGCUCGGGUCCCAGGUGUACGGUUCCUAAAAUGGCUGCCAUAUACACGUCCACUGAUAGGAGACGCUGAAGGUAUUAAACUGAUCAGAACAAUACUAAACACACCACAAAUAAGGUUUCUCUCCUGUAUGGCUCCUCAAAUGAUGCUUAAGAUUAGAAGCGGCUGAAAAGCAUUUCUCACACUCCGAACAAAAAUAUAUUUUUUUAACAUUCUCUCCACUUUGAACGAAAUGACGUUUGGGAAGAGAUUAACAUACUUAAACACAGGCAGUAAAAAUACAGUUUUUAGCCAUACCCUGUAACUUUAAAACUGCACAUCCCAUCUUCAUAAUUACAUAUUUGGAAUCAGCACACUUAAAACAUAAACAUAACCAAAAAUCAGCCAAAUCCAUCCAGGGGUUAAAAAGUUAGCUGGAGGUCCCUUUAUGACCGACGCAAGCACAUUUUCCUGCCCAAAACAGUUCCAUAGAUUUGGGCUGUGAGGUCGGUCUAUUUCAGGCUGAAAAAACGACUAAGUCCCAUCGCGAAUGGGACUUAGUCUCCGCAGCUGAAAUAAGGCUGAAAAAAACGGCUGAAAAAAAGACUAAGUCCCAUCGCCGAAUGGGACUUAGUCUCUGCAGCUGAAAUAAGGCUGAAAAAAACGGCUGAAAAAAAGACUAAGUCCCAUCGCCGAAUGGGACUUAGUCUCUGCAGCUGAAAUAAUUUCCCAUUUACUGAACUAAGUGGGAAAUAGCAAGGCAGGCACAAAGGGUUUGCACCAGGUCUGGGGACACAGGGGACACCGUCUUAAAGGGGCCGUGUCCCCAACAAGUCUGGGGACACGGCCUUAAAGGGGCAGUGUCCCACCUUCCUGAUGUCCCAAAAAAGGUGUUUAAAGGGCCAGCACCAGUCACAUAAAGAGUCCAUAAGCCCCAAUAUGCCCAAUCGACAGUCUUAAAGGGCCAUACACACACCAAAUAAAGUGCAUACAUUUCACAAUCUCCAGGGGCCAUAUCAUGUGCGGAGGAGGCUGCAAGCAGGCUUCUCCGCACAACCUAGGAAGGCAGGGCACCUUGGUUACUUAAAGGGCCCAAGCAUAAAUAGCAGCUCUUGUAAAAUGCACACCCAUAUCUGCCAAGUGACCCGGCUGUAGGGGACCAGUCCCUAUUCUGCUCCAGGUCAGUGUGUACCAGGGAACCUUAGGACAGGUGUCAAUCCAUAUCUGCCAAGUGACCCUAUGUAGGGGGACAGUCUCUAUUCUGCUCUGUGUCCGUGUGCAUCAGGGCUCUGAGGACAGGUGUCAAUCCAUAUGUCAAGGUGUCAAUAUGUCAUAUGUCAGGUGUCAAUCCAUAUUGAUUGUGAUUUAGGAAUGUUAGGUGAUUUCUGCCCUUUAUGGAUUAAAACCAGACUCUGUAUCAACUGUGUAAUUUUCCAUGGGAGUUUUGCCAUGGAUCCCCCUCCGGCAUGCCACAGUCCAGGUGUUAGUCCCCUUGAAACAACUUUCCCAUCCCUAUUGUGGCCAGAAAGAGUCCCUGUGUGUUUUAAAAUUCGCCUCCCCAUUGAAGUCAAUGGCGUUUCGGGCGGUUCGCCGGUUCGCGAACAUUUGCGGAAGUUCGCGUUCGCCGUUCGCGAACCGAAAAUUUCGGGUUCGCGACAUCACUAAUAGUAUUCUUCUAACUCAAUGGGUUCUCUCCCCCCAGAUAAUUUUCUUGUGCACUAAAGCAAAACAUCAUACGUACUUAUUAUCAGUUUUUGAUUCUGCCAACUUCCUUAGCCAAAUUGUCUUACAUGAUCAAUGGGAAAAUAAGCUGGAGUCUUCUUUUGAUAUUGAUUUAUGAUAUGGAGUUCUUAUUAACCUUUCUAUUUUUUUUUUUUAUGUGUUGCUUAUUUAUGAGGUUAAAAAUAAACAUUUGUUCCAUUGGUAUUUUCUGACAGAAUGAUUGGUGCACAUAUUUCCUUCACAAUCUCAUUUAUGGUUACAUAUGCUAAAAGGCUUGAUGUCUCCAUCAAGUUCAGCCUUCCUAACAUUUGUUUGCUGUUGAUCCAAAAGAAGGCAAACAAAAACAGUUUGCAGCACUUCCAAUUUUGUAAAAAAAACUAGGAAAAAUUCCCUCUUGACCCCAGAAUGGCAACCAUAUUAAUCCUUGGAUCAAGAAGCAUUUACCCUACAUUGAAAAAUGAUAUCCUUGAAUGUUCUGUUUUUGCAAGUAUGCCUCUAGUUGCGGACCCUGAUAAAACCACUUCUUCAGGCUGAAAAUUACAUAUCCUUAUUGUUCUUACAGUAAAAAAAAAACCUUUCCUUUGCCUUAGACUAAAUCUAAUUUCUUCCAGUCUAAGUGCAUGACCUCGUGUCCUAUGUAUAGUUCUGAUUGUGAGUAGAUUUACACACAAUGGUUUUUAUCGGCCGCGAAUAUAUUUGUAUAAUAUUAUCAUAUCCCUUCGGAGGCAACAUUUUUCUAAACUUAAAAGGUUUCAAUUUGUUACCCUUUCUUCAGAGGUAAAAUUUUCUAUUCCUUUUAUUAUUUUGUUACCCGCCUCUGCACUCUUUUUAAUGCCUAAUAUCCUUCUUUAGAACAGGUGCCCAAAAUUGCACAGCAUAUUCAAGAUGUGGUCUUACCAAUGAUUUUAAAAGAGUCAAAAUUGUAUUCUCAUCCUGCGAAUUAAUGCCCUUUUUCAUACAUGACAAUACCUUACUGGCCUUAGCCACUGCUGAUUGACAUUUCACAUUGUUGAAUAUUUUUUUGUCUAUAAUAAUUCCAAGUCUUUCUCAUGUGUUGUUAUCCCUAAUUCGCUUCCAUUAAGGGUAUCAGUUGCUUGUGCAUUCUUUACGUCGAAGUGCAUAACUUAGAAUUUUUCUACAUUAAAUUUAAUCUAUUCAUCUAUUACAUUUGUUGCAAUGCUGUGGUAUUUGCAAUUCACCAUCUUGCCAAAAUAGGAGAUGAGGCUUGUCAAGCAUAUGGUCAAACAUGCAGUCCACAGGUUGUUCUGUCUACCCAAUACUCCUGUAGAGAGCCAGGCUGUGACCCGAAGAUAUGUGGCUAUUUUGCAACUGGUCCAUUAGAAGUCUGGACACCAACAGCAAAUAUGAUGUUUUUGGCACACUAGUGCACUUCAUUCAGGUCCCUCCACUCCUCAAGCCCUGAGACAGGAGCAAAUCAGACAUGACUAAGGGAUCAAUGUGGGUCGGUGGAGNNNNNNNNNNNNNNNNNNNNNNNNNNNNNNNNNNNNNNNNNNNNNNNNNNNNNNNNNNNNNNNNNNNNNNNNNNNNNNNNNNNNNNNNNNNNNNNNNNNNUUAUCUUGUCGGCAAUUUAGAGAAAACGUCCUGUUAAAGUGACUUCGAUGAAAGAAGCAGCAACGUUCACCCCAUGUGCUGUAGUCCGUCCCUUAAGAAACUUCUCCACACUACUGUUAUUGCAUGGUGCAAAUGUUGAUUAUGUUUUACCUGAUAGAUCUCAUCACAGCCCAAACUGGUACAAGUUGAUCCCCAGCUUAGCCAUACCUUGCAUUGUAUGUCAACUGAAAUUUGGUAUNNNNNNNNNNNNNNNNNNNNNNNNNNNNNNNNNNNNNNNNNNNNNNNNNNNNNNNNNNNNNNNNNNNNNNNNNNNNNNNNNNNNNNNNNNNNNNNNNNNNCAUUGAUACAAAAUAUAAUAAUUGCACCUUGUACUACGUUAUGAAUUAUAUGUUGUGACGUCCGAAAAAAGCUGUGAGAAUUCAAAGUGAAUUUCACAUUAAAGGCCAAAGUAGCCAAACUAAAAUCAGAGAUGACUUGGAUACAUUUUCCAGUUUAGCUUUUUUUCACCUUAAAUUUGAAAUGAACUUUGAAUUUACUUAGAAUUACCACUUUAGUAAAAAUUUAGAAAUCCACACCACUAUAUUUAUCUCUACCCUGGAGCAGUGCUAACAAUGGAACAGAGUGGCUCACUGUCAAUCAUUAUUAGCACUGCCCAUUACUGUUAGUUAAAUAAAAACACAGCAUUUUCACCUGUCAAUCAAUACAGAGACCUUCUUACAAAUUGGGUCAAGUAGCUACAUGGCCAGUAGGGACUAAGUAACUGAAGUAUCAGAGAUAACAAUGUUUCUUAGUUUUCUUCCAAAUCAAUGUGUACCAUGUUUGUGCUAGGACAGAACUGAACUAAAUUGUGAUGAAAGUUUCUGUACAAAACAAAACAUUGCAUGAAAGAGGAUAACAAAAGUUAUCUUUUUUUUUCUCAAUGUAUAAAUUAAUGCUGUAAGAUGUAAGGGCAGUGACUUACCUAAGGUAUGGCAUGUGUCCUUGGCACCACUUGGAGGGGUCGGAGCUCAGGAAUGAACAUCUCAUCUGAUUUGACACUGACGGAAAAUCAGAAUAAAAAAAGAUGAGAUGCAUAGAUGUACAGAAUGGGGGCGCAUAAAUAUACAAUGUGUCGGGUGCUGGAGGCAGAGACUAAACAUAGAAGAGGAAGGGCAAAGGGGGCAAAUCUUUGUCACUGGCCCUGAUGUAGGGUGCGGGCAUCGCAGGGGCUGACAAUUGUGGGAAAGCAGGUAAUCUUUUCUUCUUUCCAGAUGAUUUUCAGACAGAGGGUGCCAGCAUAUGAGCACCGACUGCCUUGUAACUGUUCCACAUGUACAGGAAAAGGGAAGGAUACCCUGCUUCCCCAUGGUGACCAGGGACAUGGCCUCCUCUGGCUCUUCCCAUCAGUGUGUCAUGCCCUUGUGUCAUCAUGACAUCAUAUCCUGGCAGCCAGGAUCAGUACUCUCUGGGGACAGGCUUUAUUAGGGAAGAAGAAGAUAGGCAUCAUCAGCCCAGAACUGGCAUAGAGCAUCUGGUAGAGAAUGUGUACAGUGAGUGUUUGUAUUGGCCAGUUUGUGUGGCUUCUGUGUGUUAAUGUGUGUCAGUAUGGAUCAAAGUGUGCCAAUGUUUAAGUGUGUCAGUGAGCGUGUGUGUAGCGUAACUUACCUCUCCCUUUACUCCCUGCCCUAUCGUGGUUUCUGUUUCAGUUCCCUUUAGCGCUUGUUGUGUUCAGUUGGGUUUUCUUCAUAUUGACUUUGGCUUUGUUUCUGACUACGUUUUCUCUUUAUCCUUAUCUGUUCUGGUUGCCGGCUUGCUGUUUACUGUGUACCAGACCCCGGCUAGUCCUAGUUUACGCUGUCUCUCUGUGCCCUUGACUUCGGAUCGUUCCUGACUCUGUCUCCUCUCAUAUACGUCGAGUCCGGCCAUUCUAAGGUCCGGUAGACGUAUCUCUCCUCUGUGUUGUCUUCUGUUUAGCUGAAUCCUGCGUGUUGGGGUAUAUUCUCAUUACAUUACGAUAGGGCCAUGGACCCCGCAGAUUUGGCUCAGCAAAUGGCUUCUCACGAGGCAAGGUUUGUAGAGCAGGAUCACCGUAUGGAUCAGAUAGCACAGGCUCUCCAGACGCUCUUGUCUAGAACUAUCCCUGCAACCACACCUAACCCUCCUACGCCUCUUCUUCCCGAAGUAUCCAAUUCACCUAAUAUUUCGCCCCAUUUAACACCCCCUCCUAGGUAUGGAGGGGAAGCUAAGACAUGCAGAGGUUUUAUUAAUCAAUAAAACCUUGAGAUGUAUCCACAUUCCUUUCCCACUGAUAGGUCUAAAGUGGGGUUUUUGAUGCAUCAAUUUACUGACAGAGCACUUGAGUGGGCAAAUCCUAUUUGGGAGGCCAAUGGACCUACGGUGCAUAAUUUCAAUAGCUUUCUUAUGGCUUUUCGUAGAACUUUUGACACAACAAAAAGGUCAAAGAAUGCCGCAAGAGCAUUAAUGAGAAUUAAACAGGGUUUUAGGUCUGUGGCUGAUUAUGCUAUUCAGUUUCGUACCCUUGCUUCACAGGUAGAUUGGACCAAUAAUGGGUUAACUACUGCGUUCAUGGAAGGUUUAUCUGACACUAUAUUAGAUGAGGUAGCGGCAAGGGAGCUUCCUAUUCCAUUAGAGGGCCUUAUUGACUACCUCAUUGAUAUAGAUAAUAGGAUUCGUGACAGGCUCUAUACUAAGAACAGGAAUAGACGUUUGGUCACACCUAAUAACCCCAGAGUUGAUAAACCUGAGAGUGUUAAAGUAUCCGAGGAGGAACCCGUGCAAUUAGGGGUUGCCAAACUCUCGGAUACUGAAAAAUUACUUAGAAGAAGGAACGGACUCUGCCUAUACUGUGGUAGGCGAGACCAUAGGGUCUUCCGGAAACCUCUCGCACCUAAGACCUUAUAGAUGUGACUGGCCUUGGGUGUGAUAUCUAAGUCUCCUAAAUUGCCUCCUAGCCGUUUGCUUCUCCCUGUUUCCCUUCAUACGGGAGAGACUUGUAUAGCUGAAAACAUACUAGCCUUGGUUGAUUCCAGGGCUGCUGAGAACUUCAUUGACUCUGGGUUUGUUAUGAAAAAUAACAUUCCCGUCAGAGAGAGGGAGAUACCCUUGGCCAUUGAGGCCAUAGAUGGUAGACCUUUAAAUACUCCAGUCGUUACCCAUGAAACUGUACCAUUAUUCAUGUACACAGGGGUUUUACACUUUGAGACCAUUCAAUUUCAGGUAAUCACCUCUCCCUCUUCUCAUAUCAUGUUAGGGUACCCAUGGUUAUGUUCUCACAAUCCCAUUUUCGACUGGGAAUUGGGACAAUUAAAAUCAUGGGGCAAAACCUGCCACGACUCUUGUAUGAUUAAAGUCACCCCUUUAAAUACCAUUAAUGUUCCUACUACUCCUCCUUUGUCUACUGUUAUACCUCCUCAGUACUUGUUUCUCAAAACUGUAUUCAAUAAAAGGGAAGCUGAUAAAUCACCGCCUCACAGAUCCUAUGAUUGUGCUAUCGAUUUAUUGCCUGGCACUAUACCUCCAAAGGGCAGGGUGUACCCUUUAUCUAUUCAAGAAAACCGUAUCAUGGAGGAGUAUGUUAAAGAAUCGCUAGAAAAGGGGUUCAUUAGGAGAUCCUCUUCUCCGGCUGGAGCAGGGUUUUUCUUCGUAUCUAAGAAAGAGGGUGAUUUAAGACCGUGCAUCGAUUAUAGAGGUCUAAACAAAAUCACUAUCAAAAAUGCAUACCCUAUACCUUUAAUUACAGAAUUAUUUGACAGGCUCAAACAUGCUACUGUGUUCACCAAAUUGGACCUUAGAGGUGCAUACAAUUUAAUACGCAUAAAGGAAGGUCACGAAUGGAAGACUGCAUUCAACACUAGAUCCGGUCAUUACGAGUAUACUGUUAUGCCAUUUGGUCUUUGCAAUGCCCCAGCAGUAUUUCAGGAAUUUAUUAAUGACGUCCUAAGAGACUUUAUUUACACAUUUGUAAUUGUAUACUUGGACGACAUACUGAUAUAUUCUACAGAUUUACACACUCAUCACAGACAUGUCACAACGGUCCUGAAGACCCUUCUUGCUAAUGGUCUUUAUUGUAAACUAGAAAAAUGUUUAUUUGACCAAUCCGAAGUCCAGUUCUUGGGGUAUUUGAUUUCCACCAAAGGGUUUCGUAUGGAUCCCCAGAAACUUUCUGCUGUCAUAGAGUGGCCCCUACCACAGGGUUUGAAAGCAAUUCAGCGUUUUCUUGGUUUCUCUAACUAUUAUAGACGCUUUAUUAAGGGUUUUUCUUCUAUUGUAGCACCUAUCACCCGUAUGACAAAAAAGGGUGGUAAUACUCGUGUCUGGUCUCCCGAGGCACUUCAGGCUUUCGACUUUCUUAAAACUACAUUCGCCUCUGCACCUAUUUUACAGCACCCUAUCCCCUCACUGCCUUAUAUUCUUGAAGUUGAUGCUUCUGAUAUCGGGGUAGGUGCUGUUUUGUCCCAAAGAGAAUCGCCUGAAAAGCCAUUGCAUCCUUGUGGCUUCUUUUCUAGACAAAUGUCCAAAGCUGAAAGGAAUUAUGAUGUGGGUAAUCGUUAACUCUUUGCUAUUAUCUUAGCUCUUAAAGAAUGGAGACACUUGUUAGAAGGAACUAAGGAUCCUAUCCUCAUUUUUACAGAUCACAAGAAUCUAUCCUACCUUGGUGAAGCUAAAAGAUUAUCUUCUAGGCAGGCUAGGUGGUCACUAUUUUUGUCCCGUUUCAAUUAUAUUAUCACCUAUAGGCCAGGUGAUCGCAACAUUAAAGCAGACGCUCUGUCCAACAGUUCGAAACUACUGACAAACAGGAGGUUGAUGUUACUCAUGUCAUUCCCCCAGACAGGAUAAAAGCUACUACUAUGUUGUCUAUUUCUUCAUCCCUCUUGCAGACCAUACAGGCGAAACAAAGUAUGGCACCUAGCGAGAGGCCUAUUGAUAAAUUGUUUGUUGAUGUUCCUGAGAGACGGGAGAUUCAGUCAUUAUAGCAUGAUACUAAGACUGCUGGACAUCCUGGUAUUACUAAAACGAUGUCAGCAGUUUCUCGAUAUUUUUGGUGGGGUUCCUUACGCAAGGAUGUCACUGACUAUAUAAGUGCUUGUACUACUUGUGCAUGUAUGAAAACGUCUCGUAGAGUUCCUUGUGGGGCUCUGCAUCCCUUACCCGUUCCCGAGAGACCUUGGUCUAACCUAUCCAUGGAUUUUAUUGUUGAAUUACCCCCUUCGAAUGGUAACACAGUCAUCCUGAUGACAGUAGAUCGGUUUUCCAAGAUGGCUCACUUUGUGUCUCUUCGGAAGUUGCCCACAUCCAAGGAACUGACUCUAAUCUUCGCUAGAGAAGUAUUUCGGUUACAUGGUAUUCCCGUAUCUAUUGUGUCCGAUAGGGGUAGCCAAUUUAUUUCCAGGUUCUGGAAAGCCUUUUGCUCAGAAAUUGGUAUUUCUCUCUCAUUUUCUUCUGCUUACCAUCCCCAGUCUAAUGGAGCUGCUGAACGUGCCAACCAGUCUCUGGAGCAGUACGUUCGUUGUUUUGUGUCUCACCAUCAGGACAAUUGGUCUGACCUACUUCCUUGGGCUGAGUUUGCUCGGAAUAACGCCACUCAUGAUUCUUCCGGCAAAAGCCCUUUUUACGUUGUCUAUGGCCAGCAUCGCGUUGUUCUUCCGGCUGCAUUCUCCUCCCAGUUCUGGAUGAGCAUUUGGCUGGUUUGCGUAAUACUUGGGAGCAGGUUCAGCGUUCUUUGGUGGAUUCCGCUGCUCGCCAGAAGGCUCAGGCUGACAAGCAUCGUAGAGCUGCUCCUUCUUAGGUUGUGGGGGACAGGGUUUUGCUUUCCACGUGGAAUAUUCGCCUGCGGGUGCCUUCUAUGAAAUUGGCUCCCCGCUUCAUAGGUUCUUAUCGUAUUCUGCAUAAGGUUAAUCCUGUUUCAUAUGCCUUGGGUCUUCCUAGGAAUCUGCGUAUUCCUAAUGUCUUUCACACCUCGUUGUUGAAGCCUUAUGUACGCAACCGCUAUACCCGGCAUUCUCCGCCUCCCCUUCCUGUCUCCGUGGAGGGUCAUGAGGAAUUUGAAGUUUCUGCUGUUCUUGACUCUCGUUACCUUAGGGGUCGACUUCAGUACUUGGUGCAUUGGAAGGGUUAUGGGCCUGAGGGGGGGGUACUGUAGCGUAACUUACCUCUCCCUUUACUCCCUGCCCUAUCGUGGUUUCUGUUUUAGUUCCCUUUAGCGCUUGUUGUGUUCAGUUGGGUUUUCUUCGUAUUGACUUUGGCUUUGUUUCUGACUACGUUUUCUCUUUAUCCUUAUCUGUUCUGGUUGCCGGCUUGCUGUUUACUGUUUACUGUGUACCAGACCCUGGCUAGUCCUAGUUUACGCUGUCUCUCUGUGCCCUUGACUUCGGAUCGUUCCUGACUCUGUCUCCUCUCAUAUACGUCGAGUCCGGCCAUUCUAAGGUCCGGUAGACGUAUCUCUCCUCUGUGUUGUCUUCUGUUUAGCUGAAUCCUGCGUGUUGGGGUAUAUUCUCGUUACAGCGUGUGUAUGUGUAUCUGAGAGCCUGUGUAUUGGACAAUGAACCUGUGUGUCUUUGAACAGAGACUACGACCGGAAGCCAAGAUAAAGACAACAAGGAAUGAAGUUAGUAAACUGGAACAACUUAGAGGUGGAAAGAUCAAGGAUAUAUCCUGGCUAUGCUAUACAAGGAUAUGCCCAUACCAGAGUAGCCCACAUAAACCACAAGGUGGUCAGCCCCAGGACCUGAUAUGAUCCAUACCUGCAGGAUUAAGAAAUUAACAAUCCUGCAUGAACUCCUAGCAUAAAUGAACCAGCUAUUAGCAACAAGAUCCCACCCUGACGUGCUAACACAAGGCAAUACUGGUCAUGAAGGACCCUCGCAAGGGAACAACAUCAUCUAACUACUGACCAAUCACCUGCCUAAACAACAUAGAAUGUCCUGUCAGGCUUCAUAGCCUCCAAGAUACUGCACAUAUAAGUCACUACCUGAGUAAUGCUCAGAAUGAGAUCAAAACACCAACUACUGAUAGACCAAGAAGUCACUCGGGAUUCUACGACCAAACAGAUUAAAUUUGGCUCUUGGCUCUAUACAAGGUCAACAAGACAGUAAGAGCAUUCAUUAAGAACUCGAUGGGCAAGUGGAAAACAACUCUAGAAGUCAAUUCCAGGACAAUAACACUAUCACCAAUGCUGUUCUGCCUCAACCCCUUCAGCCAGAUCAUCAAGAAGCGUUGAGAACAGGUACAAGUACCUGGGGGUACUACAAACACAUGGCAAACAUGAGGAAGAGGCAAGGAGUAUAGCAACAUCCAAGUACCCUGAGAGAGUUAGACAGGUUCUCUAGUCCCAGCUCAAUGGCAAGAACAAGAUCUAAGCCAGCAACACAUAUGCCCUACCAGUCAUCAGGUACCCAGCUGGAAUAACAACCUGGCCAAGAGAAGAACUGGUCACCAUUGGUGUCAAGACCCAUAUUUCAAGGAGGGAGCUGCAUGCCGGUAGCAACCUCCUUGUAAUAAACUGAACGAACAAACGAACACUGAUACUCAGUGUUAGUUUGUUCAUCUGAUUUUUCUAUUCAUUCAUUCAUCUUUCUGACGAAUGAAUGAAUAGAUGAAAUUCCCGUUCGCAUGCCCAAGUGUUUCACUGGGCAUGUGCGGGAAUCUCAGUGCUAUCUAGUGUGGGCAGAUGACUAUAGUGUGGGCACAGGGACUUCCUCUACCCACACAAAGAUGGCGGCGCCCUGAAUAUAGGUCAGGGCAGAAAAUAAAGAAUAAAAAAUAGGUAAUAUGGGGGGCUUAGGGACAUUUGGGGGUGACUAGGGGGUCAAUUCGAUGUAGUGGAGGUGGGAGGGAGGUUAAAAAAAACUACGGGAUUCGGCCAUGACAGUGCCGCUUUACUGUGUGUGAUUUCUGAGAGUAUUAUGCAUUUAUACAUACAAUGCAUACAAAUGUGUAUUUUACUAUAUAUAUAUAUAUAUAUAUAUAUAUAUAUGUUUGAAUAUAAGCAUAAUUUUAUAAAUUAUAUUUAGAAUAUAUACACAAACAUGAGCAUAAUACACAUGCAUUAAUAAACAUGUAUAUAUGCAUUAUACACUCAGAAAUCCCAUACAUGUAUAUAAAAUGUUGCAUUCCUGACAAGGAUAUUCACUAAACUUUGAAUAGGCCACUAUAGAAAAAUUCUCAAACUUCACUAUUGUGAUAGCAUGAAUAAUUUAGCCUAAAUGUUGGAAUUAAGAUUUUCAUUUGCAAAAAAUCUUAGUUUAGUGAAUAAGCCUGUCUGUGUCCAGGGCUCUAGUCAGGUGCCCUAAACGGAAAUUAUUUGUGUCUGGACAAGUACAUUGCCAUGACAAACAAGCAAUUGGGCUACAGCUUUAGUCCCAUGGGCAAUUUGAUUUUUAUUUUAAAUUCCACACUCCUUGUAGUGAAAAAAAGAAUAUUCUUCAGAUGUAUCAAAACACCAUGAAACCUUUCUUUUCAAAGAAGAAAGAAAAUGGAGCUAAAGGAUGUGAAAGAAAUGAAAGAUGGAGCAGGGGAAGCCAAGAAAUGGAGAAAAUUCUUCAUGACCUUCUUUGAAAAGCCUGAAACAAGUUGUUUGACACUUUUCAUAGAGUCACCUGUACCUGUUACAAGUUUGUUGUAAUCUGAAGGUGGAUCAAGUAAAAGAGAUUACAAGUGAAGAGGCCAGACAGUACAUGACAGAUGGGAAGACGAUGGGAAUGGUGAUGAUGAUGUUGUCUUUAUUGACAAGAUUUUACCUGACAAUAUUGAAUCUGAUGACAUUGAACUUGUGAAUUGGAUGAUGUAUGUAUGGAUAGCUGUGUCUUACCUACCAGAAGUGAUUAGUCAGCAUGACAUUGAACUUCUAAAGUUUGACAAGGAUACUAGAAAAAAUAUUCUGACUGACAUAUUGAGAAGAGAAGCAAUAAAGAUUGUUUCAAAGUAUUUCUAGAACAGUGAAGGGCCUUUCCUACCAACAAAUGAUUGCUCAAUGAACAAAACGUGGUUCAUAAAUAAAUUGAGAAAUGGUCUGUUGCGAAAGUGACUCACUCAUGGCUAGCCAAUUCCCCUUCUAACAUGUCUGCAUUUUGUAUCUAUUGUGUUCUCUUUUCCUGGCCAAACCAUCAAUCCUCAUAGAAGCAGGAAAGCAGAUACAACCAGUGGAAAGCACCUGAACAAAUUAGUGUUCAUGAAAAUACUAAGAAAUAGCUCAAAACAAAGGUUUUUGAUGUGGAACGUCAGUCACAGAUUGAGAAGAAAAAGCAAAAGUGGCAAGGACAUGGGGAGUUACUUCAGCUGGAUGAUGACUCCAAUGUGAGAAAUUUCCUUGGCUUACUGAAACUACUGGCCAUCUUUGACCUUGUCAUGAAAGAAACCCUCACUUGUGUCAAAAGUCAUACUGAAUCCAUAUCUUAUCUUUCACUAGGUGUCCAGAACUAAUUAAUUCACAUAAUGGCAUUCACCAGAGUUUACUGAGAAGCAUUUGUAAAGCCAAGUCAACUCCUGAUCAGGCACACCGUGAGCAGAUGUCAAAAAUAGUGAUGUACGUAGAAGUCAGUGUUAAAAGAAAAACAUUCCUUGGUUUUAUACAGAUAAGGAUGCUGAGAGCUUGGUUGAAGACACCUUGAAACAGCUAGAGGAUGACAAAAUGGAACUACAUGAUUGUCAGUCGCAGUGCUAUGACAAUGCUACUGUGAUGGCUGGACACAGAAAUAGUGUUCAUCAAAGAAUAAGUGAGAAAAAUAACCUGGCUUUGUUUGCGAAUUGCAACAAUCACUCACUCACUAACUCAACUUGGUGGGUGUACAUGCAGCCAAGCACGAUACAAUGAUGGCCACAUUUUUCUGGAACCAUUGAAGCUCUCUAUGUGUUCUUCUUUUGUUCAUCAUAGUGCUGUAAAAAAACUCUGUGUGGUAGUUAAGUCAGAGUCUGAAACUAGGUGGAGUGUAAGGGCAGAAGCAGUGAAACCUGUCAACAACUACUUUGAGGAGGUACUUCUAAUCCUUCAGGACAUGAUACACAAUUAAUAUAAAACCAGAAGCAAGAAGUGAAGUAAGGCAGCUAUAUAACUAAAUGUUGAGUUGCAAUUUUCUGACUUUGCUAGGAUUUUAGAAUAAAGUAUUCAUGCACAUUGACUGUAUUCGAAAGAGGCUGCAGUAACCUAGCCUGAACUUCCAAAAUGCUACUUUGGAUUUGAAAGCCUAUAGAGAUCAUUUUGAUGAUUAAAGAGAAGUGUUGGUCAGUGAGUCACUUGAAGAAGGACUCAGUCAUUGUCAAGAAUGGAAUAUUGAGUUGAAAGACAUCAGAGACAAAAGAAAACCCAAGAGAUGCUAUGCUAACAGUCAAUGAGGAGAUGAAAAGAGGAACACUUGACCUUCACAGAGAAAUGGAUUAAAGGUUUGCCCAUCUGCAUGACACGGACGCCAAGUUUGGGUUACUUCUCGACAUCGAAGGACUGUACCUGCAGUAGUGACCUAAAUAAUAAGUCGGAAUUUUUGGGCAAAUUCCACAGCUGUGAUGUUGAUGAGCAACAGCUAUAGGAAGAAAUUUUAUAUAGCAGAAUAUUGCUAUUAAGUAGGACCAACAUAAAAAAAAUCAAGCCCUAUAGAGCUAAGUUAACCAUUGCAGUUUUUAUUGCCAGCUGUGAAAGAUCAGUUAGCAAGUUUCAAACUAAUACUUUCAUAUUUGAGAGCCUCUAUGGAUUGAGACAGACUCUGUGAUCCUGCUCUGCCGAGUGUAAAAAGUGAGGAAACGGAAAAAACUGACUUUGAGCAGUGAAAGCAAGGAAGGUGCAUUUAUAAUUUCCAUGGAGUGCAAUAAUUUGUUAAUUAAAGGAUUAACAAGCUUACCUUACAUUUUUGAGCUGAUAUUUUGUUAAAGUCAUCUAAAUCUAAAGGAUGGGUGUCAGAUGUUUGGACAUGUUUGCAAUAAGCACUAUUUUCAGUAGAUACACCUCUAUGUGAAAGUGUUACUGAAGUGCAGAACACCAAACAGUAGUUAGCUACGAAUCCUGAGCACAGAAAUACCCUUUGUAUACCUGUGCUAUUUGUACAUGGAGUUACAAGAUGGAUUUAAAUAUUAAAUUUUUUUUUUUCAAUUUAGAACAUUUACGCUGGGUCUGUAGUUUAAUUUAGGGAAUUUUAGCAGCUUAUUAGUUCAGAACACUACAAAAAGGCAUAACUUUUUAAAACGUAGAUACCGCUGGGUAUCUCACAUGUUGUGUUUUUAGCCUUACUGUUUUUUUUACUGUACCCAGGAAUGUAAUAACACAAGAUGCCUACCUUAAAGAUGCUGUGGUCUGUGACACCUGUCAUUCUUAGAUAGCUUGGUAACAUAACCUUAAAGGUAGUAUUUACUAAACCAUAUGUCCUCCAUAAAACUAAGCCACACUUAACCCUAUGGUCCUCUACCCUUAAACACUCCUUAUCCUAUAUCCCCCAAAUCAUAAGUCUAAGUCUCUCAUUCCCUGAACCAUUAGAGAUCCCCUAAGCUACCCCUAAAACUAAGUUAUCUCCAAUGUCACAUUCACUGAUGACAUCAACAGAGGGAUUUCCCCAUUGUAUUCUGAACUGUACUUUUGCAACUUUAAACGGUAUAUCAGUGAGUCCCUGUCCGAACACACACAGUGUUCAGCACAGAACACCCAUACAACGCCCAUUGUUGAUCAUUGUGUUCAGGCUGGUGGGUACCUGCAGGUAGACCUAGUCUGUUCUUUUUUUACUUAUGUACAAGAUAUUUAAUACCAUUUUGGUACCAGGUAACACCCCCACAAAAUGAUUGUUACUUUUAUCUUUUCCACAUCUGACAAAUUAGAGGGAUACUAAAGGUACCAAAACAAAUUCAGCUUAAUGAAUCAGUUUUGGUGUAUCAAGCCCCUGCAGUCUCACAGCUCAGUUCUCUGUCAAUAAGAAGGAAAACCACUGUUUUCAAUUUAGAAUUUCGGGUCUCAUGCUUUGUUUAUAUCCUUCUAGACCCUGCAUGAACCUUCUGUGUGUAUGAUUAAAGUUCACUUUACAGAGCAUGAGAUUAAAAACUUCUAAAGUAAGUUAAUAUAUGAUUGAAAUGUGGAUAGAAGGAUAUGAACAGAGCAGAUAAAAACUCUAUGAAGCACUGACUUUCAACUUCUCCACACUCUGCAUGGAGACACUGAACAUUCCCAUAGAGAUGCACUGAUUCAAUGCAUCUCUGUGGCAUAGCACAGCAUGCAGAGCCAGGUGGGGCUGGGAGAGAAAGGGUGAGUAAAGUCACCUUUUUAUUGCAAUCAGAGGAGAGACGGUAACCUAAACACUUCUGGACUACAGUGUCAGAAAUACUAUAGUGUCCCUUUGAUAUUAAGGUAUUUUCAUGCAUUCUAAAUGUUAACUAUUCUGAUCUGUGUACACAGUGCCUGCAGCUCUAACACUUCUUUACAUAUAUAUACCAAUGGGACGNNNNNNNNNNNNNNNNNNNNNNNNNNNNNNNNNNNNNNNNNNNNNNNNNNNNNNNNNNNNNNNNNNNNNNNNNNNNNNNNNNNNNNNNNNNNNNNNNNNNAAAAAACAUUCAUAUUUGACAGCUGCAUAUGUGCAUAUUUCUACCUGUAAAUUUUUAUUGUUGAAGUGCAAAGAUACACCAAGGAUAUUGUCAAAAACAUCAAAAUUGUCAUCAGUAUACAUAGCCAUAUCCAUCAAAUAACAUAGACGCAGAAAACUGCAUAUUUUUAAGGAGUAAUAGUAAAGACGAAAAGAUCACAGUGCUUAGGGAUUAUGACUAAAGAAAAUAACAGAACAGCCUAUCAGAUGUACUGGUAGCAAGUUUAAUAGGCUGAGGUCACGAAUAGAGCAAAUAAUAUGCAGGCAGACUUCAGGAUAUGCAGCAAUAAAAGUGUGUUAACCUCUAUGCCUGAUGAAACAGAGAAAGCCCUGCCAGAGCAUAAUAACAUUUAUCACAGCCUGAAUGUACUUGUAUGAGGCCACUGAAGCCACCAACUGAUAACCACAUACGGCAUAGCCGAUACACAUUAAGAUAAACGUAACCAAACAAAUAUUACAAAAGAAAAGACAAGCUGCUAUCUCAUGGACCUUGAUUCACCUGACCCACAAUGCUGAAAAAAUGCUCUUUAGCAACCCUCUGAGGAUGCAUCGAGGACAGUGUGCUCCUUCAGCCCCAGGCCUUCUCACACACCAACAUGUGAUACCCACAGACCUGUCCACUCUCGAUGGACAAAUCAAGAUCUCUGGGGGGUCCACCAGGGCAAUCCCUCCUGGACAUUGCCUCUCCAAGGCGCUUUGCCCAGGUAGGUUGCUGCCAGAAGACUCUGUCAUUAUUAGGUUAGUCUCCUGUGGGGAUCAAAAUAACCCCAUCAGUUCAAAGGAGGGGGUGGGACCAACUAUAUGUGGUGUUGAAGAGCCUGCAUGAAUAACUGUAUGAGAUACAAAAAAAAAUGUUUUUUCAAUUGUUUAUGAGCACUGGGUAAUAUAUGCUUUAAGAGUUGGAGUGUAAGGUAUUGGGGGGGAAAAAAAUAAUAAUAAUAAUAAUAAUAAAUAUAUAUAUAUAUAUAUAUAUAUAUAUAUCCACGUGGGUCCAGCACUCACUCUCACGGCCUUGUGUUUGACUGGGUGCUUACUUCAGCCAAAAAAAGUCUACCACUGGACUGAAAUGUUGACACUAUUUUUGGUGUCUUAAAUUGCACAAUAAAAGAUUGAAGAUUCUUCUGUUGAGUCCUGUGAGUGACUUUCCCUGGAUUAUUUAUAUAUAUAUAUAUAUAUAUAUAUAUAUACAGGGCCGGACUGGGAAAAAAAUUAGGCCCGGGCAUUUUUUGAUCAGAGCGGCCCCCUAAGUAGGGGGUGGGGCUAGUGAGGGUGUGAUUUGUCAUCACUAAUGACAAGCACACCCCCUCUCAAGGUGAGCAUAUUGGUUCAAUGUGCAGAGCCCUGCUGAAGAGCUCUAGCAUUAGAAAAAGGCCCUGUAUUUGUUCUGUGCAGCGCAAGCAAAUGUGUUGUGUUUGCUUUUAAAUUGUCUCUGGUGUCUCCACAAGUGGGAUACCAGAGGACAAAAGGGCCAGGAAUGCGUAUGGUGCAUGUGUUUGGAGACUGCUUGUGGGAUUGCGUGUGUAGAGUGUGGUGUGGUAUUGUGUAAAUAGGUCAAUUUCAUUUGUGUUUGUGGUGUAAUAUGUGUGGCUAGGGGCAGUGUGUGUGUAGGAGAUCUAAUGUGUAAAGGACUGUCUGGGGGUGUUGUGUGUGUCUGGGUGCUGUGUGUGUCUGGGGGUGUUGUGUGUGUCUGGGGAUGUUGUGUGUGAGUGUGAAUUUAUUUAUUUAAAUUUAAAUAUAUUUUUUAUUAAUAAUUUUUAAAAAGUUAUAUCCCCCCCCCUUCUUACCUUUAGCCUGGGAGUGGGGGAGCCAUUCUGCCUGGGAGGGGGAGCUGUUCUGCCUGGGGGUGGGGAGCCGUUCUGCCAUGAGGGGGGCCGUGCAGCCAUCCUUCCCUGCAGGCUAGAGUUAACUCUCACAAGAUCUGAGCUUUGCCGCGGUAACCGCGGCAAUGCUCAGAAUACCGCGAGAGGACCCGGCGGAGUUGCUGGCCUGGGCUCCAGCGGGUCCUCGCCUCCCUCCCCAGCUGGCGGCCGCAUCUCCAUGCCUGUGGGCCGGUGAGGGAGAUCUUUGAGCGCUGGCCCUGCAGGGGCUGGCAGGGGAGAUCCUGUGAUCUCCCCUGCCGGCCUCGGCGCCACAGCCAUCGUGGCCCACCGGGCAUUUGCCCAGUAUGCCCGAUGGUCAGUACGGGCCUGUGUAUAUAUAUAUAUAUAUAUAUAUAUAUAUUCCAAAAGAAUUGCACCAGGGUACAAAAAAUAAAACAAAUUUGCUCCUCACUUUCCUUUUUGUUUAAUUUGUGGCUUAUUAUUAGAGAGAUACUAUAAGCAACUGAGCAGUGAGACUGCAAGGGCAUAUACACCAAAAAUGCCUCAUUGAGCUAAAAUUAAUAUCCGUUUCAUGUCCUUGUGGGUUAUGCCCUGCACUGGGUGUAAAUAGGGUAGCUCAUAGCAUUGGGUGUAAAUUGGUGUAGCUGGUUUAAUAUCUUUUAACGUUCUAUUAAUACAUUUGCAUUAUAUCUCUAAUGUUUCUCAGCUUUGUUUGUGGUGUGGUUAUCUCUUUAUUGUACUCCGCUUUAUGUAUUUUGUAGAUAUCUUUAUGUGUUUUAUUGUAUGAGCAUCUCUGUCUUAUGCCCAGCUCUCUGUAUUGUCUGAGUAUCUCUGUCCUGGAUAGAGAGGAGGAGUCUGGCACCAUCUUGUGCCAGUUGCCACUGAUGCUUAGUCAAGUUUCUGUGUCCAUGGAGGACUUUUAAUAGAUAUGCGCGUGAUGCAGAGCAGUAUAUCCUGCAAGAUCAGUAGAUGCACAGCUUCCUGGGCUACUUACGGUUUUGCUGCAGUGGGCUGUGAUAGUAUUUGUUUCUUCAGCUGAGCUCUGUAAAUGGUUUAAUUUGCAUCAAUACUUAGUUCAAAGCACCCAUAAUCAAGCUCCACCUACAGGUGUGACAAACCAGCGUUAUAUGAGAUCAAAGUCAAAUUUUAGAUCCAUUAAGCCUUUGAAGUCCUUCUUGUAAAACAGUGUUUGUAACAGAUUCUACAUAUUGAUUUUCCCUCCCCAAUGCAACCUAUGAUUCUUCGGGUGAUACUAAAGCAUCUAGAAUUCUCAACAUUUGGAUGUCGGUAGUUACUGUUCAUCAGAAUCGUUGGCUAGUUUAGCAACUGUGCUACGUGUUGCUCAUAAUACAAAAUGGCUCAUUAUCUAACUAUUUCAAUUAUACGUAUUUUAAUAUCUGUCAUAUUUUUGUAUGAUUUCAAUUUUCUUCUGCUUAUGUUUCUUUGCUUUAUCUUGGUUUCUGGUCUUUUUGUGUUUUCUACUUUGAGCUGUGUAAAUAUACGGAAAUCUGUUGUUGACAUUCUAUUGUUAAGUCAAGUCAGAAUGUUAAUGAAUUUGCAGAAUUUAGCUUUGUUUUAUUCUCCCUGCUUUUAGUCAGCGCAUGCUGGUUCCGUAGAGCUGUUAUACAAUAAUGCUAAGAACCAUUUAUUUCGGAUAUUUGGAGGAUUUCUUGCAGUGGCUGCAAGACAAGAGAACUGCAUAUUUUACUGUUUUAGCUACACCUCCAAUGAAAAAAGGCAUAAUUAAAUACAUGCAUGCAUGUUUUCAUUUGUAGUAUAUCUACUUAACAGUGGAUUUUAUUUGUCAUUGUAUUUGAGCAGUGGAGUGUCCUUUUAAGAUGUGUUUUAUUCAUUUGUUUCUGAAAAGUUCUGUAAGAGGUAGUUGGUGCUUCUGUCUCAGACUAGGAAAAGACUUUAUGCCUGUCUCAUCUAUGAGAUGUUAGUAACUUACUCUCUGUGAUCCUUGCAUGAGAUCUUCCUAAUUUGAUUGAGAUGCUGCAUAUCAUUAGUUUAAUACUAUCCUUACCUUUUGUGUCACUUGACAGGCGCACAUAUGCGCUAACCUUACCCACACCCCCAUUAAAACACAGGUUAUACUGUUGGAAAUAAUUAGUCCACAGCUUCAUUAAAUUAUUAAUAAAAUAAUUAAAGAAUAACAAAUGGGGUCAUUGCCAACAAAUCUUAUUAAAGUUAACAUUCCCCCCAUAUACAUAACAUACCCCUAGCAAUGACCCCACAAUAAUAAUAAUAGAUAAUCUAAAUAACAUGUUAAUACAGAAACUGGUCGCCCAAUAUGACCACAUUUCCACCAGGUUAAAUUGUAGGGGUGUACCGAGACACCGCUACCUACCAUAUCGGUUGUAGGGGUGAACCAAGACACCGUUACCCACCAUUUCCAGUGUAGGGAGUACCAAGACACCUCUACCCACCAGUUCCAGUGUAGGUUGUACCAAGACACCACCACACCCCCAGGUUUGAAGCCACCGACGGGCUCGAACCUACCAACCACGUGCAACACUGCCCAAUCCACACUAAACCUCAGGAUGCCCACUUUCUCCUCCAUCUACCCUCCGAUUAAUCCAGGCCAUUCCCCGCCGCUGUGAAAAAAACAGGAAAUUAACUAACCUAACCAAAUACAGUGAGGGUGGGAGGGACAACUGACAGGUAAGUUUAGGUUCAGUUAAAAUGGCCACUUCAUAUAAUGGCUGGUAUAAAUACUCCCCUUAUGGCUCCGCCCUACCCAGCAUGCUAGCUGUCACUAACUUCCUGUGGCUGCUAUGCCUACCUCCUGGCUCUGUCAAGGCCUAUUCCUCUUAGCUGCGCUGACCCAUGGGCUACAUUUACCCCACUCCCUCUAGCAUGUAAGCUCAUUGAACAGGUCCCUCAACCCCUCUGUUCCUGUGUGUCCAACUUGUCUGGUUACAACAACAUGUUUGUUCGUCCACCUACUGUAAAGCUCUGCGGAAUUUGUUGGCGCUAUAUAAAUAAUAACAUAAUAAUAAUAAUGAAUAGACAAAGAGUGGACAGCCAAGCACAAUGCAAUAUCGAUAUUUUACGGAAUAAGGAGGUGUCUUUAGACACCCAGGUCUUCAGUGAGUGUGUUAUGGUGGACAGGGCACGAGAGAGCACUUGAGUAGUUGUUCUCUGUGGUGCUACCAUUAGUUGCAGGAGGAGUUUUCUAUGUUGAGCCAAAGCGGUGUGAAGGCACUUGUGCACAGCAAGAGAAGUUGUGCGAGUUUGGUAGCGUAGUAGUAGUUUCUAAUAUUGGGGAUACCUAAGCCUCACAUUUCCAUUGGUAACUGGCAUGUCUUACUGGAGAUCUAAAGAGGGCAUUUUUUUCUAUAUGUAUGAGGUUUAAUCCAUUUGAAAGUCCUUAAACACUUUAUCAGGAAUUUGGAUGGGCAAUGCAUCUAAGAGGUAUAGAAUUGUAGGCAACCCAACCCCAAGGUCUUGUGUUCAUGGAGGAAUUUAGCCAUUAUAAUUUUGAAGUCUGCUUGCACUGAAGAACAGAGUGAAUACAGCAUUUCCAUUUCCAAUGCUGUGUCGGAACCCAGCGAGGGUGCACGCCUGUAGCCACCAUCUUGCCUGGUGCCACCAAGGUAGUCUUGCUGUUUUAAUGGAUUCGGUGUUCCGCUGCUGUUUCGAGUGUGCCAUGUGGGUACCCCAAGGGUCUGCUAAAUGUUUUGGUCCUGUUUUUUAUCCUGAUGCAUGGUGAAUCACUUUGGCCUCCACCAGGUCGUAGCUAUUUGAACCCCUAAUGAUUAUUUUUGUUUCAGGCACAACAGAAUUGAUAUGGGUAAUAUGUCACUCUUUUAUAUACUGAGGAGGAAAUUUGGUUCAAACUUUAUUUGUUCAAACGUUUUUAUUUGUCAGAAGAUAAAAUAUUUUAAAAGGUAGUAAGAGACCUUAGGUUUGCCUGAACAAGCUUUAAGUCACUAAUCAUGUUUGUCAGUGUGUUUGGCCAAAAACAGAUGUUUGUGUUGGGGAUAUUCUCAUAGGGAUCAUUAAAUAAAUUCAGUUGCUUUACAAUCUUAAAAAAAAUGUUGUCCCCCUUAGACAUUUCAUUAGAAGCACCUGCUUAUGCUGGACUAAAGUGGUGCCAAAGCAGACAUGGCUACCCAUCCAAAGACGUAAUCCUUUAUAGAGAGUGUGUAAAAACAUUAACAGGGCAUUAUCAACAUUUUAGACAUUUAUACAAGGCUUUUUAUUUAGACAGUGCAAGCUGUUUUUUUUUUGUAUUGAUAAUACAACAAAAAAUGUUAUUAUAAUUUAAAAAUGUAUAGAGUUAUAGAGUUGGGGGUUUGGUGGGAGCUGGCACUUCAGGAGUUUAAUCUCGAGAUUUGUGUUAAAAAAGCCUUUUUCCAAUUAUUUGAUGAUGAGUUUGUAAUUUUAAACUGGCAAUCUGGCUAUGUUAGGGUAGACAGGCUUUAAAGAUGAGUAGUUUAAAGUAAACAUCAUUCACCUGUAUCCUUAAAAGUUUGGUCAUUUAAAUGCAUUUUAAAUUCACAAAAAGCUAAACACUCCAACAAAAAAAGUCAUGUUCUUAUACAUACUUUCUGUUUGUGUCUGUAAUUGAUGUGCUUUAUGUCUAAUGGUAUAAUUGUAUAUGGUAAUAUAUAAUGGUAUAAUUGGGGCAUACCACAAAGAAUAAGUAAAUCUAUAUCAGCCAAAUUCUCCAUUAUUCUCUCUGCAUCAGGCAGCAGACUUCUCUGAACCUCUGCUUUCUUGAAAUACUCCUGUCCUUCGACACAUUUUCUCCUCUAUAAGUCCAGUUUUAUCAUCAGCUCACUCCUCUUGACAGUUUUUUAUUCUUAUAGUAUUCUACACCUUUUGAGGCUAUAUUUUGCCAUAGGUAUUGUCUGUCAGAACCCGAUUUCAUUGCCCCUCUCAACAUUCAUACGUUUCUUUUGUCUCCUUCAAUAAUAGUCACAACCUCUCCUCCAAAAGCACGAACCCCACCUCCAUAAGUCCCCCUCUUUCAUUAGGUAGCUUCUCCAGAUCAGGACAGCAUGCAGUUUACAGGUGCCAUCUAGUGAUGGGAGGAUUCACCUCUGGGUUGAUUUUAUUGCCAAUGGGAGACAAAAAACAAACAUUUAGCAACCAUUUACUUUGUUAACUUAUCAAUUAAGUUAUGGUGGUCCUCACAGGAGGUCCUGUGAGCCAACUUACCUUAAGGGAUCGAACUGUUUACAAACUGUUUAAAAAAGAAAGUUGUGAAAAGAGCACAGCUUGUUCUUAGCUUCAACGAGAAAGUCUUGGAAUGGGCUGAUACUCAAAUAAUCACAACUUCCUAUUCACAAAACUGUGUAAGAAAUAUUUCAGAUGAAGUUGUUAUGGUUUCCUGAGUGUUCCUUAAAAUUAUGUACCUUUCAAACAGGUGCUCUAUUGUACAGCGCUAUGGAAUUUGCUGGCGCUUUAUAAAUAAAAUAAUAAUAGUUUUUCUUUCUAUUUAUAUCUACUAACAAUUGGUAGCACAGUUAGACCAGUCAAAGCUGCCCACAGGAGGCAGCCCACUGAAAAAUGAUGUGAUAUCCCAGCAGGUCAGUCCAGCCCUGCAGAGAGGAUAAAUUGGCCCUCCAGUAGGAAGUACCUGAACAUACAGGAGUACCUGGAGAUACCUGGCAAGCCCCCGGCACAUGUAUGCUUUUUACCUGAUCUUUUCUUAUAUCAAACAUCCUUAUGCAAGAUGAUGUCACCUCUAGCUUCUGUUUAUCAGGGUUCUUACCUGAGAUGGGAGUCUGUAGAACAGAUAUGUUUGCUCACCCUUGCAGAUAGACGCAGUCCAAGGUGACCAGAUAAGAAGCCACCUGGACUGUGAAUCUGUGCAGGAAAGGUGAUUCCAAUGCAGUUCCGACAAGGACACAAACAGCAUGAUAGUCAGGGGAUAGCCGAAGUCAAAGGAUGCCAGAGGUCAGGAUUAACGAAGUGUAGCUGAAGUCAAGAGAUGCCAGAGAUCAGGAUAAACGAAGACAGAAGCUGGGUUCAAUAUGGAGUACCCUGCUCAUUACUGAUCUGUCUCAGGUGAAGCACAGCAAUAGACGAAGUCCAGCCCCCAGUGCUGCAGACAAGCCAGGUAGAACAGGGCUAGAAAUACUCCAAAGAAUAAGAACUGCUGUGGCUGAAAGGCAGUAUAGCAGGAAAAGGACCCCUGUUGGGCACUUCUGGGGCGACUACGUAUGGCCGUAUGGAUGUCACGGUGAGAACCAUGACACUAUUCAUAUUAACUUGUUUAUUUAUUUUUUGUUAUUUUAAUAACACACACACACCCAUUGUAAAGCAAUGGAACUAUACAAACAAAAUAAUAAUUAUGUUAAACAUACAUAUGAAAAACUUGCAUGUAUAUUUAAAUACCCCUACAGAACGUGAGAUGUUUGAAAUGUUGCUGUUUGUAAUUUUUUUUCUAGAAGUCCAAACACAUUAUGAGCUAGAAGCUGCUGUAAGAGAAUACUGGAUGUGUAGAGGGUGCAGACGAAUUGCCUUCUCUUCCCUGCUGACAUAGCAUAUGCAGUUCCAGAAAGGUUCUAUCAAGGUAUGCAAAGUUUCAUGUUUAUAUUUGUUAAUUAUAUAGCCCUUGCUAGUGUUGAUCCCCAUUUCUGCAUUGUAAUAUAUUACAUACAUUGACUCAUAUAAUACAAAAUAUACCGCACUCCAAUAAAUGCAUAAAAAUGUAUUUAUAAAUAUUGAUACAAUAAGAUAUUCCUUACUAUAUUAGUAUAUAAGGGGAAGAAAAAAAAGGCUACAUGUGUGAAGCCCACAGAGCAACUAGUCCUAUGCCUGUAUAUCUAGGUAUAUCAUAACCUUGAUACAAAAAAUGAUUCUAUACAUAUAUAGCAUGUCAAUGAACACAUAAGUAAACCACAGUCGAUCCACCCCCUGGUUAAAGCAGCAAUGGCUGCAUUGAUGGUCACCCAGGACUUGACCCCUGGUGAAACAGCUUGUUGUGACACAAGCGGAGAUGUUUAAAGUAGCCCGCGAGGAGCAGCAAAAAGUCACCCAGGGACUACAACAGGAAAUCCAAGCUAUCUCUGAAAAACUGAAUGGAGACCCUGAUGGAAGAUAUCUGGGGCCAAAGGUGAUUCGGGCGAGCCACUAUCUUCAGAAAAUGACCGCAUCAGAUGAUGUUGAGGCAUACCUUCUGGCAUUUGAGCGCACUGCUGAGAGGGAGGGAUGGCCGAGUGGUGAGUGGGCAAGCAUACUGGCACCGUUCCUAAGUGGAGAGCCGCAGAAGGCGUAUUAUGACCUAGAACCAGCCGAUGCAAGUAACUACAGCAAAUUGAAAGCUGAAAUCUUGGCACGACUGGGUGUAACCUCUGCAGUACGUGCCCAAAGGUUCCACUCAUGGUCAUAUUCUUCAGACAAAGCCGCGCGUUCCCAAAUGUUUGACCUCAUACACCUUGCACGGAAAUGGCUACAACCUGAAAUCCAUUCAGCUAGCCACAUUGUGGAAACCUUAGUAAUGGACCGGUUUUUGCGUGGUUUACCAGCUGCCCUGCGUCGCUGGGUCAGCCAAAGUGACCCCCACACAGCUGACCAACUGAUUGCCUUGGUGGAAAGAUAUGUGGCUGCAGGAGAACUGCUACGUCCUACUUCACAGGAAAACCCCCGCAAUCCUAAGCCCCAAGAUUCUGCAAGACCUGGUAAGACUGUUCAAGGUUUAAGGGGAGCUGAAGAGCUGCAGCUCUAUACACAAAACACCAGGGGGGCAUCCAGGUCUAAUAGGCCUGGGAAAGGAACUAAUUGGUGGUCAGAUUUUACUGUCAAAUGUUUCAAGUGCAAAGAGGAUGGUCAUAUGGCCAAAGACUGUCCAUUGAAGGAUGAACCUAUGGAAUGCAAUAUGGGCAAAGAUGAGGGAGCACGUUCAUUUUUGCUCAACUGUUAUGGUACUGUUAACAAUGACUAUGAUAAUAACCCUCAUAAAUGCUGUGUAACUGUGAAUGGUAAAAUGUCUAAAGCAUUACUUGAUUCGGGUAGUAUGGUUACGUUGGUAGCAGAGUCUGUAAUACCUUGUGUAAAACCUGAUCAUGUACAGAAAAUAGGCAUUAUCUGUGUUCAUGGUGAUAAAAAGGAAUACCCCACUGCGGAAGUAAAUAUUGGAACCCAGUAUGGGAUUUAAAGUACCGAGUGGGUGUAGUACCUAGAUUAGCCCAUGAGGUAGUGAUCGGUAGAGACUUUCCUCACUUUCUAGAAUUAUGGGCAGCUGUACAAAAGAGGGACCAAACUUUAUCAGAAAUUAGUCAAUCGGCCGAGGAUAAUGUGUUUCCUUUUUCCGAUAUUGACUUGGGUUUUGACCACUGUGACAGAGAAAUAAGAAAAAGGAGAAAAUACUGCCCUAAACCAGUAUUAAUAGGAGAUAACCCAGCUCAAACUAGUGAAGAGCCUACUAAUACUGCAGACAAGGAUAAGGACUUAAUUGAUAUUGGAAUCAGUCCAGGUAAUUUUAAAAGUGCUCAGUGGGAAGAUCCCACUUUAGUGACAGCUAGAAAUGAUAUUAAAGUUGUAAAUGGGGUUGCUAAUCAACCAGGAGAAGCCCUACCGUUCCCCUAUUUUGAAGUACAAAAUGACCUAAUUUACCGUGUAGAAAAAAGGGAUUCAGAUAUCAUUAAGCAGCUGUUGGUUCCUCAGACUUACCAAAAUAUAGUACUAAAGUUGGCUCACAGCCACAUAUUAGGGGGACACUUGGGAGUCGAAAAACUAGAGAGAGUGUCCUUAGAAGGUUUGUUACAUAUGGUGGAGAAUAAGUUCCUUGCGACUUGGCAUGGACCCUAUGAAAUAAUAGAGAAAGUGAGUGAUGUCAAUUAUAAAGUCAGACAACCAGGAAGAAGAAAGCCUGAACAGUUGUAUCAUAUAAAUCUGUUAAAGCCAUGGAAGGACAGGGAGGUCCUGGUUGCUUUAAAAACUUCAGAACCUCCUAUAGUAGAGCCAGAGGUGAACGUAUCUGAGACUCUGUCUGUACAUCAAAAGCAAGAGGUCAGAGACUUCAUCAGAAGAAAUAGGGAUGUUUUCUCGGUAGUUCCAGGAAAGACUAAGGUGAUUAAACAUGACAUAAUAACCGAACCAGGGAAAAGUUAAUCUCAAACCCUAUAGAAUUCCUGAGGCCCGGAGGGAGGUUAUAAACUUAGAGGUUGAGAGCAUGUUAAAACUUGGAGUCAUUGAAGAAUCCCAGAGUAACUGGAGUAGUCCUAUUGUAUUGGUGCCAAAACCUGAUGGCACAUGGAGGUUCUGUAAUGACUACCGCAAGUUAAAUGCUAUCUCAAAAUUUGAUGCUUACCCAAUGCCCAGAGUUGAUGAGUUAAUGGAAAGACUGGGUAAAGCUCGUUAUCUAACAACCUUGGAUUUAACAAAGGGUUACUGGCAGGUACCUCUCACUGAAAGAGCCAAAGAAAAGACAGCCUUUUCAACACCCAGUGGCCUGUUUCAGUACACUGUAUUGCCAUUUGGGUUACAUGGGGCACCUGCCACAUUCCAACGAAUGAUGGACAGAAUUCUUAAACCUCAUGUUCGUUAUGCUGCAGCAUACUUGGAUUAUGUCGUCAUCCACAGUGCAGACUGGGAAUCCCACCUCCCCAAAGUUCAAGCGGUGCUUGAUGCUAUCCGCUCAGCGGGCUUAACUGCCAAUCCUUCCAAGUGUACGAUUGGUUUAGAGGAAGCAAAGUACUUAGGUUAUUCUAUUGGGAGGGGUUUGGUUAAACCACAGGAAGCCAAAGUAGAAGCCAUACAAAAAUGGCCACAGCCCCUUACAAAGAAACAAGUAAAGGCAUUUUUGGGUUUAAUUGGAUAUUAUAGACGGUUCAUCCCAGAUUUUGCUACCAUUGCUGCACCUCUAACAGACCUUAUUAAAGCAAAAUCCCCAGUUGUAGUUAAAUGGUGCCCUGAGGCAGAAAAGGCUUUUAAGAGUCUGAAGGAAGCUAUCUGUAGCCAUCCUGUCUUGGUGACCCCAGAUUUUUCCAGGGAUUUUAUAGUUCAGACAGCCCUUCUGAUGUAGGCUUGGGGGCUGUUCUUUCACAGGAAUACCAGGGUGAAGAACACCCUGUUUUCUUUUUGAGCAGAAAGUUAAACCCACAUGAGAAGAACUACUCUAUUGUUGAAAAAGACUGUCUUGCUAUUAAGUGGGCAUUAGACUCUUUUAAAUACUACCUACUAGGCAGAAAGUUCCGAUUGAUAACGAACCAUGCACCUCUGACAUGGAUGUAUCAGAACAGGGAAAGUAACUCCAGAGUAACCAGAUGGUUUUUGAGUUUGCAAUCUUAUAAUUUCACUGUGGAACACAGGGCUGGUCUGCAACAAGGUAAUGCUGAUAGCCUUUCCAGGGUACACUCUCUGAUAUCCACGGUCGCUCAAACCCAUGGGUAUGAGCUGGGGGGGAGGAUAUGUGAGCGUAAAGGUGGAAUAGUGGUUGAUGGGAGAUACAUCAGGCCUGAUUUGCUAAACAGCAACCAGAGGAUUUUUCAGUUAAAUGCCCCAGGGAGAGAUGUUAGAGUUUGCAAUCUACAUUGCUAAGGUUCUGCAAAACAUGGUAUGGGUCCCUGGGGCGGAGUAUUUGGAGAGCAGGGUGGGCCAAUGCUCCAACAGCAUUAGUUGCUGUGUAACAGACCACUAUUUGGAUCUGACUUACGAGUUAAUUAAUUGGCACUCACCUGUAGCCAGUCAAUUAGUAGACAGGCCUUUAAAAGAAGAGGGCAGCCUGCUGCAGAGUGAGGGAGGAAAAGACAGCUAGGAGAGUGAAAGACAAGUGUGUUUAUUGCAAAGCCAUUUCUUUUGUUUGGAAAAUUGGUAAGUGGGAAAGCCACCCAAUUGCAGAUAGUAAUUCAUGUCUAGUAAGAGCAAGGGAUUUUGUUUGUUUUUGUUAUUAUUUAAAGUACCUGUUUUCUUAUUGAAUAAAAAGGAAAACUGAGCUGAAGGUGUCCUGGACUUUGUAUACCCUAGAAGGCUGUGGUUACUGCAAGAUCGGUGACAAUCCUACCUGAAAAAGAGGUGGUUUGUUACAAUAUAAAAAAAAAAAAAAAAGAAAUCCAAUAAAUCUUGCACUCCACCAAUUCCAAAUUAAGUGCCCGGUGCUUGUCAGCCAAAAAUACAAAAUAGUUGUCAGUGAUAGCACUCCAAGGACUAUAAGUAAAAUAUAACUUAUUACCUCCACUAAAACAAUACAGUCAACGUUUUAGCUUGAUCCCCUCAAGCUUUCGUCAGGACAUACUGAAAAUACAAACAAACCCCACAUAUAUAGCAUAAGUAAUGACAUCCACUCACCCCACCUGAGGUGCAUCUGACUUCAUGGACGCUCGGACCGGGACUGCUGCGGGCUGCCCGAUGAACCUCUGCAGCCACGUGGCGUCGCGCUCAAUGACGCGGCCAAGGGUCAUCACCAUGGAUACCAAUAUACAAUUACACAUCGUGCAUAUCAUACAGCGUGUGAAAUAAAAACAGUGUUGCCAAAUCAUCUAGCAACAGGUGAAUGUUACAAAGCACCUUAAUUGUAUAUAAAUACUUGAACAGAAAUGGCAGACUGGUAUUUUAAAGUUGGGAAACCACAAACUUUGAAAAUAAACUGAUGAAUGAAAAAGAAAUGAAAUGAAAUAAAAAACAAGAAAAAUAAAACAAUAAAUAAAAAUAAAUAUAACUAAAUAGUACACUAUUGAAAAUGAUAAAAAAUAAUACAUAGAAAAUAAUAAAAAUUAAAUAAAAAAUAAUAAAUAAGGAAAAAAUUAAUAAAAAUAAAUAUAAAGAAAUAAAAAAAGAACAAGAAUAAUAAAAAUUACAAAAAUAAAAGUAGAAAAAAAGUAUAUAAACACUCAAAAAUAAACACAAAACUAAUGACCUCCAUAAAGGUACUCAGCCUAAAAAGGCUAACCUAAUAUAACCAAACCUCAAGAUUGUUAAGGCACCCUUAUAAUGUUUACUGAAAAACCAAAACAUUAACGGGCCAGUCUAAUAUUAGAACAAUAACUUGUUCUGAACCAUAGAACCGAAUAAUAGGGGACUAAUGUAUAUCGGGCAAUAAUCAUGAUAUUAUACAUCCUAGAUAUUAAUUAGUUUUAUAUAUCCUGUUAAAGCCAAAUGUAUAGCUGGAAAAAAAAUCAUACAUAAGCCUCAUUAAUACUAUUCUAACAUAAUAAAAAGCUGGCAAAAAAUAACCCAUAAUCUUGCAAAGAGAUCUAUAGGUAGCUGAACCUCUAAAAGGCUACAUGGGUACCCCCGUCAAAAAAGUAUUUAUCAUCAAAAUCAAAAAAUAACACAGAGGCUUAAAGUCCACGUCUCUAUAGUCUACAAUUCCUGGAGUCUCUUUAACUUUAUAAGGAACAUAGCUUAAGAGACGUUUAUCACCAACCAAGGACAACAUCUAUCAAUACUACCUAACCAAGUUUGAGUAUAUUCAAAAUAGGAGGACAAAUAUAUCUGUUCCAUAAAUACACACCCAAACAACAGGGACAACCCAUAACACCCAUGUUGUGUUAACCCUGGAUGAGUACUGGUCACAGUGGGUAUAUAAGCGGGUUGCCUAUUCCCCAGGGUGGGCACCCAAUUGCAACCCCACAUACGUGACCGUAUCAAAUGCAUGAAAGAGAAUAAAACUGUUACACAGCAGUAUAAAUAGUGUGAGAUAAAUGUAGGGCUGCAUGCCUAUCCCCCAGGGUGGGCAUCGCAUUACCACUGCUUCUACACACUAAUAAAUGAAUAAUUAUAAAAAUGUGUGUGUGUGUGUAUAUAUAUAUAUAUAUAUAUAUAUAUAUAUAUAUACACACACACACACAUACAUACAUACAUACACGCAGUGGACUGAACUUUUAGAUGUAUUAGACAAGAAAAAUAAAUGACUAUAGCAGCGUAAUUACACUGUAAUAGACAAAAAAAAGACAAAAUAAAAACAAUACAAAAACCAUCAGAUACAGAACACAACACACCAUAAAACGAUUCGCUGUCACAACUGCUAAGGAUAUGCACACAUUCACAAUUAAAAUCCCUAUGGAGUUCCAAUACACAGAAUCCAGAAACAAUAGUCUAAAAUUCCCAAAGCCAAAGGAAAUAUCCAGAGGAUGACAGUACAAAAAUAAAGGGAUAGUGACAAUUACGAUCAGCACCACAUUGGACAGACUCUCCGGUCACCUCAAUAGGGAAAGUGAUAUGUCUUCUCCAAGUGGAAGAAAUAACAGCUAUAAGGACUUCAAUAAUGAUACAACAGUAGUAGCAUGGUUGUGCAAUAAUUUCCAAAAUUGAGGUCUCCGGAUGUACAUUGAGCGGAUAUCCUGCACCUUGCAUCUUCCUGAAAUAUUUUUCAUGGUUUGAUUACUGUAAUAUGAUUGUGUUUAAUAUCCAAAAAAGGUUACAACAUUUUGCAGCUAGAAUAUUAAUAGAGUCUAAUAGAUGCUCUAACAAGAAACUUGUUUUCAGUAACCUGUACUGACCCCCAAUUAUGUAGUAAAUAUCAUUGGCUAUAAAGCCAUUUAUUGGACUGGCUCAGAACACAUAAAUACAAUAAUGCCUGUUGGAACAUCUGUCCUGUCCUUGGUAAUCACCUGAAUUGCCUGCCAUGGUCUUACUGUUCUAUCCAGAGCCAUGCCCUUCAAGUAUUUGGAGAGACUCAAGAGAUAUUGUCCGCUCUUUAUUAAAGAGAACAAAAGUUUAUUAUAACGCAAUAAAGGGGAGUGUAGGGGGAGUAUCAUUAAUCACCAAUCAAAUAUAGACAACUAUUAAUUAGGGAUCGACUGAUUUUCGGUCUGGCCGAUAUUAUCGGCCGAUAUUCUAGGGGGCAUUACUAGGUAGGGUUUUCUUAGAAAAGGUGUAUGUAGGGAUAGUGUCUUCUUAGAAGAAGGGGAAAAAGACAGAAUCCUGCCCGCACACCUCUACUUUUAACAAAAUUUGUUCCUUACUGCCAAUUAAUGUCCUUUUAUUAUCACUAUAGUAUUUUAAAGCCUCAAAAGCAUGGGUCGUCAACCUAGUCCCUACCGCCACUAGUGGGCGUUUCAGGAUUCCAGGUGGACGGUAGGGAUUUUUUAAUUUUGAGAAAUUUGGGCGGGUGCGAGCUGGCUGUACCCCUGCGACCGGGUACUGCCAUCACCACUUGCAGCCCCGGCCCGCGGGGCAAACCGAUGUGGAUUGUAAGGGGGCCCGGUCAGCGCUGGGCGCUUUAACAGCGCGACCGGGCCCCCUGUGAUUACAUCACAGAGCUGGGAGGAAGUGACUGCACGUCACUCCUCCCAGCUAACACACAGACCGCGCGGGAGGAAGGAGGAGAGAGUCAGAAUGGGAACUCUGACUCCCAUCCACCUGAGCCACCACUGGACCCUAGGGAAAGUCACCCUCCUGCACCUAAAAUGUAGGAAACAGGAGGGUGACUAAAAUAUUUUGUGUGUGUUUGUUUGUGUAUGUGUCUUUGUAUGUAUGUCUUGUGUGUUUCUGUCUGUAUGUAUGUGUGUCUGUCUGUAUUUAUGUGUGUAUGUAUGUGUGUCUUGUCUUUGUAUGUAUGUUGUGUGUGUAUGUGUAUUUGUAUGUCUUGUGUGUGUGUGUGUGUGUGUGUAUGUAUGUGUGUCUUGUCUUUGUAUGCAUGCGUCUUUGUAUGUAUGUUUUAUGUGUGUGUCUGUAUGUGUGCCUGUCUGUGUGUCUGUAUGUAUGUGUGUAUGUAUGUUUGUCUUGUGUGUGUGUCUGUAUGUAUGUGUGCCUGUCUGUUAUAGUGGGCUAUAGUAAGUAAUAGUAAGUGGGAUACCUAGCUCAGCCUUCCUACUGGGCAUUGCUAUAAGGAAGGUUAAAAAAAAAAAUUUAAAGGGGAAAAAAAGGUGGGGAGGGGAGCUGAUGCACAGAUGAGAAAUCAUAUUAUGCACAAACAGAGAAGUCGUCUGAAUAUCACCGAAAGAGGAGACCUUAGUUUGUUCCUUACGAAAAUCGAACCAGAUAUCAAAUAUUUAGUCUCGCAGCAUCAACCUCAAGGAUCUCAUUAAUCACUAGUAAAGGUAAUUUCAAUUUACUUUAUUGUUUUCUCAUUAAACUUUAUAAAAUUAAAAACAUUAUAAACAUGCAUUAAGUAGAAAUAAAAAGAUAAAUGUACGUACAUUUAUUUUUUUUUUUAAACACCCUCCUUUCGAAAAAAUAUUCUGCAUUGCGUGAAAACUGGUGGGCAGUAAGGAAAUUUUUUCAACCAAAAAGAUGCAUUAGUGGGCGGUAGGUAGAAAAAGGUUGACUACCACUGCUCUAAAGAAAUACUCACAAAACAAAAUAAGCACAAAGCACAAUAAUAAAAUCUGCUCUCCUCUCAAAACAGUUUCAUAUCAAUGAAGUUGUAUUGAGGGUUCCUAGAUGGCGUCUUACUGUUUUUAGCCUAUCGCUGGCUGCCCAUUGUGACAGGCUGAGAGUGUCUGCUGUAGAUCAAAGCCUAUUAGUGGCAUCCAAGGCAAUAAUUCCUUCUCAGUACAGUGGCCGAGUAGUGUACAGGAGAGGUGUGGCAGUGCAGACACCCAAAAGCAAUUUAACACCUUAAGGUAAGAUGACACCCACGGACUUCAGACCCCAAAACAAACUGCAUUGAGUUAAAGUUGUAUUCAGGGUGAAAAGACCCUUUAAGUCGUGUUGGUGCCCGUAGUGUGUCUAGAUUGUCCCUUUUAAAGCUCAUCUUCAUGGAUACUAUAGGUUAUGCCAAUAGUGGGUUAUUGUUUGAUCCCUAGAUACAACUCCCAUCAUCCUUGAAGGAUCUUCCUUUUUUUCAAACUCUCGACUUGGCUUUUAUUAAAGCAAAAGUGGAGUCUUUUGACUGUUCAUCACAUAUUCCGUUGUUAAUUCAUUAAUUCAGCUAAUUUAAAGUGAUAUAAAGAAGAUACCAUAACCAGCCAUUAUGUAGAUUUGGGUGGAAUAAUGUAAAUUUACAUCAUUUUGAUUACUGUAUUCUUAGAAGUCCUCUUUCUGAAAGUGUACUCCUGCCUUUUUUUUUGCCUCUGGAACACACAGAGUUAAUCAGUAUUGCUCUGGAAUGCAAGAAAACCAUUAGCAUUGUUUCUUGUUUCAAAUACAUUCAGGCAUCUGAGUCUUUGUUUAGCGUAACGUACAAACUAAACUACUGUUCAGCAGUAACACUACACAAUAUAGUUCUUGCUCUCUCCAGAUGGAAAUUGUUCCAGCAGAAUGAUUUAACUAAAACUCAUGUGCUUAAAUUAUGUUCAUGCCUUUUUAAAUACUUUUUCAUUAUGGUCUUUUGGCCAAGAGACAUACCCGAGACAGACUGUAUGACAGCGUUACUCAGUGUGUGGGAUUAGCCCUCCAACAAGAUGAAAACAUUGUUGACUCUUCUGCAUCAUCUGGGAAAAAGAAAUGAAUGUCCUUAACUCCCCCUGUUUAGAUUAUGAGAUCAGAUGACACAAGCUUUAUUUGUAUAAUGUAUUAUAUUUACUGGUGUUAUUUGAUAAGUCUCCGCAAGAUACAUUAAUAACAGUGGCAGCACAAAUGUUACUGUCAGUUAUUGUCGAAUCUAAAAACAAGUUUUUCAUUUAUCCUUUGUGUAGUCUUAUAUAUAACCUUUUUCAAUACAUUAACAGCAUAAUAUUGCUCCUACUCUUAAAUGGUUAAACGCUGCCAUGUUUUGAACUGUGUGGCCUGGGCUGAAUUCAAAUCUGACACUAACCCAGUGUCUACAGUAAGUAACAUAAUAUGGCAAUACCAUGACAUUGCUCUUAUAUUAAGACAUAGCUCCUUAUUAAUACUUUCUAGAAAUGACACUGAGAAUAUUCUGGCACCAAAUCAAAUAUGUGUUAGGGCCAGUGGUAUUGCUAGGGAAACUGACAAGGACUGGAGACCCAAGUGGGGCCCUGAGAAUCCUCAGGUCCAAUUUUGGCCCCGUUGCAUUGUUAGUCCUGAGUCCCAAGUAAUACUGAGAGAAAACUGGCAUCUCCAAUUACCUAAUGAAUGCACCAUGUUUUGAGUUAAUUAUAUAGCACAGCGCAGUAUUGCUGUAAGUGCAGGGUUUAAAUACAUUGGGUUCAGAGUUAGUUACAGUAAGCCUCGGGGCUUAGAACAACAGGUGUAGAAUUAUAAAUAUAGGUUUAGAUAAUAAUCUAGUUAAUCAUUCAAAGAUUUGGUUUCAUAAUGGCCUAACAUGAUAGAUAGGCAGCCAGACAUGUAUUCACAUCAGGGUGACCUGACUAAAAAGGUGCAGACCCACCUUCUUUCGUGGCGGGUUCAUAUAUUUUGGGGCAGAGUCAGUGAUGCAGUCGCAUCACUGUCUCCUCUUCUACCUCCUCCAACCAGUGGACAUCAAUGUUGGGAGCUUUGAAGAUGAACCUGGGAAAAGAGAGAGAAAGAGCUGAAAAAAGAUAGGCAGAGGUUAUGCUGUAUGUUUACUUAUGUGAGUUGUGUAUGAGUACGGAGCAAAUCUUCAUAGAAGUAAAACAUACAGUAAUGUGCAAAGUGUGUAUCACAGAGCUCCCCAGAAAUAAAAAUCUCAGUCUAUCGUGCAAUGUGGGUGUAUCACAGAGCUCUACAGCAAUAAAGGGUACCACCUAUGGGAGGAGAGGAUGAAAAUGGGGUACUAUCUAUUGGAGGAGAGGAGGAGAAUGGAAUACUUCCUGUGAUGAGAGGAGGGGAAUAGGGUACCAUCUAUGAGAGGAGAGGAUGAGAACUGGUUACUUUCUAUGGGAGGAGAGGAGGAAAAUGGGGUAUUAUAUAAGGGGGAGAGGAGGAGAAUGAUAUACUACAGGUGGAGCAGGGGGUACUAUCUCUAGCAGAAGAGUGGGGUAUUAUCUAUUUGAGCAGAGGACGAAUACGGGGUACUAGAUAUAGAACAAGAGGCGGAAAAUGGGGUACAAUCUAUGGUAAAAGCAGAAGAGAAUGAGGUGCUAUCUAUGGGAGGAGAGGAUGCGAAUAGGGUACUAUCUAUGGAAGGAGAUGAAGACAAUUGGGUACUAUGUAUGAGAGGAGAAUGUGGUGCUAUCUAUUGGAGGAGAGGAGGAGAACAGGGUACUAUCUUUUAAAGGAGAGGAGGAGAAUGGUGUGCUAUCUAUAGGAGGAGAAUGGGAUACUAUCUAUGAGGAGAGAAGGAGAAUGGGGUACUAUCUCUGGCAGGAGAGUGGGCUACUAACUAUAACGGGAGAGUAGUAGAAUGAAGUACUAUCUAUGGGAGGAGAGUGGGGUACUAUCUAUGGGAGGAUGGACAAGAACGGGGUACUAUCUAGGGGAGAAAAGAAGGACAAUGAGACACUAUCUAUUGGAAGAGAGGAGGAGAAUAGUGUACUAUUGUACAGCACUACAGAAUUUGUUGGUGCUUCAUAAAUAAUUAUAAUUUAUGGGAGGAGAGGAAGAGAAUGGCGUACUAGCUAUAGGAGGAGAAUGAGAUACUAUCUAUGAUCAGAGGAGGAGAACAGGGUACUAUCUAUUGAAGAAGAGGAGGAGUCUAACUGUUGACUGUAAGUCAACUGGGGUCAUUUUUAGUGGUCCCAGUCUGACCAAUGAGCUCUGUGAAGCGCUGUCAACAUUCCACCAACUACUGUGUUAAAUAGUAAAACCCAUUUCUAAUAUGAGAAUUGAUAUUAGCAGUGGGUUACCUUAGAGUUAUUGUUUGAGUUUGUGGUGGGGUUAGAGUUAGAUUUAGGGGUAAUAGUAGGUAGGGCUUCACUUAGUGUUGGGGUUGUGUUAGUCUAGGGUUUGGGUAGACUAAGGGAUAAUGUUGGGUAUGGGUUAAUGCUGUUUUAGAGUUAAAAAUAGUGUAGAGUUGAGACUAAGGGUAAGUUUAGGGUAGAGUUAGUGUAAGUAUUGGAUAAGUGUAUGGUUGGUAUAGCAUUAGUGUGUGGAUAGGUAUACGGUUAGUUAAAUAUAAAAAAAAUGAAUUUCGAUCCAAAACAUAGUAAGCAUUUAACAAUCAGGACUGAUAUAUGGAUCUAUUUUGAGUUAUUUUUAAUUAGUUGCACUGGAUGUGUACAAAUUAAAAUAAGCAAAAAUGUGAAAUUACUUUUUUCCCAUUAUUAACAUUUUAUUCACACAUAAUGUUGUGUUAGGUAUACAUAUAGGAUGUUAAAUGAAAGCCCUUUCUGUCCUUGAUAAAAUGAUAUACACUGUAUACUAUGUAUGUAUGACUGGAACAGAAACCGUAAAUUAAGGUAGAACAACUCUAUAGCUUAAAUUUAAGGUUUGUAACGUGUGCAAUUACUUCUGUCCUUAAGGUUUUACAGAGAUUCCAUAGGCACCCAGACCACUUCAUCUCAAUGAAGUGGUGGGGGUGCCAUGUCCCUCUUUUUAACAUUGCAGGUGAAAACAUUGCAUGAUUUAAAUGCCUCUAGUGGCNNNNNNNNNNNNNNNNNNNNNNNNNNNNNNNNNNNNNNNNNNNNNNNNNNNNNNNNNNNNNNNNNNNNNNNNNNNNNNNNNNNNNNNNNNNNNNNNNNNNUCUCACUCUGACAGCUACUAGAGGCGCUUCUGCAGCCAAAUUUACUACGGCUAUUUCAAUCAGAUGAUGGUUUCAUUGUGGCAGUUUGCUGAGCAUGUGCACUACCCUGCCAAUGCUUUCCUAUGGGAAAUUGAUCUUGAUGAUCUCAGCCANNNNNNNNNNNNNNNNNNNNNNNNNNNNNNNNNNNNNNNNNNNNNNNNNNNNNNNNNNNNNNNNNNNNNNNNNNNNNNNNNNNNNNNNNNNNNNNNNNNNGAUCCUGUCACUUAAUGACAUUCCAUAGAAAUAUGCACAGAAUUAACAUUAGCCACACUUGUUCUCAUGCUUGUAGAAGCUGAGGCAUUAAGCUCUGUGUGUGCAGUGUUUUGUAGCCGAACACUGUACAUACAAGCUCCAGACACCAUGACCACUUCAAAUUACUGAAUCCCUUUAAAGCGGCACUGUCAUGCCGAACUUACCUUUCCUCAAUCUCUUCCUCUUCUCCCCCUCUCUCGGGAUCUGUUAUUCUUUUCUUCCUGUAUUCUUUAGUUUUCUUUAAAAUCAUAAGACAAAGUAGGGACUCUUUGCCUUAUGGAGGAUUCCUCCGCUUGACCAGCUCUGACCAGCGGAGGAGCAAAGUGUGCUUCAUUUCCGCUGGUCAGAGCAAUUUUCCCAUGAUCCCUAGCUUUCCUCUGUGUUCCCACAAUGCUUCCUGUCACUUUACACAAAACUGCCGAAUUGCGUUCUAACUGAAUGAGAACAGUAUGUUCGUUUCUUUUAGAACGCAAUUCGGCACUUUUAUUCGGAUCGGAAUUUCAUUCGAAUGAAUGAAACUCUGAUCCUAUUCAUUGCCGCGGCUGCAUCUUGCAGCCGCUUAGUAGAUAACUCCCUAAUUCCCACGGUAUCAGGGAGUUAUCUACUAAAAGGCUGAAAGACCUAAAUUGGUCUUUCAGCCAACUUUACUAAUACUAAGUAAAGAUUACUUAGUAUUAGUAAAUAAUAUGCCCCUACUCGCUAUACCGCGAGUAGGGGCAUGUGUAGUAAGCAGUGAGCAGCUUAUAGCUGCUCACUGUAAAAAAAAAACCAAAAAACUAAUAACCCCCCCCCCUGCCCGUGGGGGCCCUAAAUAAAGAUGGGGGGGACCUACUGUCCUCCCCCCCUGGCCCCCACCCCUGCGCGGUGGGUGGGGGCCCUAAUAAAACAAUAAGGGGGUGACCUACUGUCCUCCCCCUGGCCCCCACCCCUGAGUGGUGGGUGGGGGCCCUAAUAAAACAAUAAGGGGGGGGACCUACUGUCCUCCCCCCAUGGCCCCCACCCCUGCGCGGUGGAUGGGGGCCCUAAUAAAACAAUAAGGGGUGGGGACCUACUGUCCUCCCCCCCUGGCCCCCACCCCUGAGCAGUGGGUGGGGGCCCUAAUAAAACAAUAAGAGGGGGGACCUACUGUCCUCCCCCCCAGGCCCCCACCCCUGAGCGGUGGGUGGGGGCCCUAAUAAAACAAUAAGGGGGGGGACCUACUGACCUCCCCCCCUGGCCCCCACCCCUGCGCGGUUGGUGGGGGCCCUUAUAAAACAAUAAGGGGGGGGACCUACUGUCCUCCCCCCCUGGCCCCCACCCCUGAGCGGUGGGUGGGGGCCCUAAUAAAACAAUAAGUGGGGGGGACCUACUGUCCUCCCCCCCGGCCCCCACCCCUGAGCGGUGGGUGGGGGCCCUAAAUGAAACACCCCCCUCCCCAAUCAAGGUGACUAGGGGUCCCAAGCCCCUAGUCACCCCCCCACCCAAAAAAAAACUAUCCCCUACCUACCCCCCUCACCCUAAAAAUAGUGAGGGGGGAAUAAAAUAACUAACCUGUAAAAAAAAAUUUAACUUACCAUUUGACGUCUUCUUUUUUUUUAAAUCUUCUUUCUUCAGCCCCCAAAAAGGCCAAAUAAAAAUCCAUCCUUACUUGCGUCGCGCCCAAAAAAAUUGAUUAAUCCAUGUUAAGCCCUUCGAGAGGCAUGGCGUGCACUGAGCUCAUGGUAGUCAAGGCUUAUAAAAAGCCUUUGCCCAUACCUACAAUUAAACUUAGAACACUCUGAUUGGUGGGUUUAGUAAUCAGAGUGCUCUGUGUCAUUUUGGCGUGGGAAAAUUCAAAGAAAUUUAUUCCAUUUGUAAAAAUGACACAGAGCACUCUGAUUAGGUGGCUUUCAAUUUUACACAGAGUGGGAAAGUUCUUUGGAAUUUUCCCACGCUGUGUAAAAUGACACAGAGCACUGUGAUUGGAUGGAUUUCAAGCCAUCCAAACACAGUGCUCUGUGUCAUUUUACAUAGCGUGGGAAAGUUCUUUGGAAUUUUCCCACGCUGUAUAAAAUGACACAGAGCACUGUGAUUGGAUGGAUUUCAAGCCAUCCAAUCACAGUGCUCUGUGUCAUUUUACACAGCGUGGGAAAGUUCUUUUGAAUUUUCCCACGCUGUGUAAAAUGACAAAGAGCACUCUGAUUGGCUUAAACCACCAAUCAGAGUGUUCUUAGCCUAAUUGCAGGGCGUGGCAAGGCUUUAUAAGCCUUCCCCCGCCCUGCAGAGCUCAGUCUGCGCGGAGCCCUCCAUGGGUGAAGAUGGAUUAUUUUUUGCGCUCAGGUUUUUUCUUUUUGUCGGGUUUUUUUUUUUGCGCUCGGGAUUUUUAUUUUAUUUUCAAUUCGACGGUUAUGAUGGUUUUUUUAUUUGGCCUUUUUUGGGGCUGAAAAAAGAAGAUUUGAGAAAAAAGAAGACGUCGAAUGGUAAGUUUAAUUUUAUUUUACAGGUUGGUUAUUUUAUCCCCCCCUCACUAUUUUUUAGGGUGAGGGGGGUAGGUAGGGACUUGUUUUUUUUUGGGUGGGGGGUGGGUGACUAGGGGCUUGGGGACCCCUAGUCACCUUGGUGGGGGGGGGGGUAAUUGACUUAGGGCCCCCACCCAGGGGUGGGGGCCGGGGGGGCAGUAGGUCCCCCCCCAUUCUCAAUAUGGCCCCCACCCGCCGCCCAGGGGUGGGGGCCGGGGGGGGCAGUAGGUCCCCCCCCAUUCUCAUUAUGGCCCCCACCCGCCGCCCAGGGGUGGGGGCCGGGGGGGAGGGCAGUAGGUCCCUCCCCCCCAUUCUCCUUAUGGCCCCCACCCACCGCCCAGGGGUGGGGGACGGGGGCAGUAGGUCCCCCCCCCAUUCUCAUUAUGGCCCCACCCGCCGCCCAGGGGUGGGGGCCGGGGGGGGAGGACAGUAGGUCCCCCCCCUCAUUAUCUUCAUGGCCCCCACCCGCCGCCCAGGGGUGGGGGCCGGGGGGGGCAGUAGGUCCCCCCCCUCAUUCUCCUUAUGGCCCCCACCCGCCGCCCAGGGGUGGGGGCCGGUGGGGGGCAGUAGGUCCCCCCCAUUCUCAUUAUGGCCCCCACCCGCCGCCCAGGGGUGGGGGCCGGGGGGGGAGGACAGUAGGUCCCCCCCCUCCUUAUCUUCAUGGCCCCCACCUGCCGUCCAGGGGUGGGGGCCGGGGGGGCAGUAGGUCCCCCCCCCUCAUUAUUGCCCCCACCUGCCGCCCAGGGGUGGGGGCGGGGGGGGCAGUAGGUCCCCCCCCCCUCAUUUUCAUUAUGGCCCCCACCCGCCGCCCAGGGGUGGGGGCCGGGGGGGGGCAGUAGGUCAUUUGGUCUCCCCCCUUAUUUUACUUUAGGGCCCCCACCCGUCGUUUAGGGGUGGGGGCCAAUAGUUUUUUUUUUUUUUUACUGUUUACCAGACAUGCCCCUACUCGCGGUAUAGCGAGUAGGGGCAUAUUACUUACUAAUACUAAGUAAUUUUUACUUAGUAUUAGUAAAGUUGGCUGAAAGACCAAUUUAGGUCUUUCAGCCUUUUAGUAGAUAACUCCCUGAUACCGUGGGAAUUAGGGAGUUAUCUACUAAGCGGCUGCAAGAUGCAGCCACAGCAAUCAAUAGGAUCGGAGUUUCAUUCAUUCGAAUGAAAUUGCGAUCCGAAUAAAGUGCCGAAUUGCGUUCUAAAAGAAACGAACAUACCGUUCUCAUUCAGUUAGAACGCAAUUCGGCAGUUUAGUGUAAAGUGACAGGAAGCAUUGUGGGAACACUGAGGAAAGCUAGGGAUCAUGGGAAAAUUGCUCUGACCAGCGGAAAUGAAGCACACUUUGCUCCUCUGCUGGUCAGAGCUGGUCAAGCGGAGGAAUCCUCCAUAAGGCAAAGAGUCCCUACUUUGUCUUAUGAUUUUAAAGAAAACUAAAGAAGACAGGAAGAAAAUAAUAACAGAUCCUGAGAGAGGGGGAGAAGAGGAAGAGAUUGAGGAAAGGUAAGUUCGGCAUGACAGUGCCGCUUUAAAUUGUGUUAAAUGUGAUAAACCUUUAAAAAAGAGAAGGGACAGAUGUCCUUAAAGGGACAUUAUAGCAUUAGAAAUAGAAAACCUGUAUUCCUAACGUUAGAGUGAUCCUGUCCCUAGUUCUUUACAGAUCCCCACCCCUAGUGUGAUAUAAAAAUGAACUAACUUAAGGAUUUACUUACCUUUUUCAAGCAUUGAGUCUUCCUCUGAGCUGCUCACCUCUCUACCCCCCAUGACAUCAUGAAGGUGGCAUGGCAAUGGCUCAGUCCAAUGCUCAUCAUAAAGUCACUUCCAGCCUUAGGAGAGCAAUGUUUUUCUAUAGGCUUCCACGUCAUGUGACCAAGUGUAAUUUGGUCAGUGCCACAGACACGUAUCUAGUGGUUGUCUGCGUGACAGUCACUAGACGUGGAUUUAACACUGCAAUGUAAACAUUGCCAUGUUUUUAUUUUAAACUGCAAUGUUUUACAUUUAUUUGCAUAGCUAUAGUGUUUCUUUAACCCUGCAAACACAAUCCUAAUUCUAUAGUUUUAAUCUAUGCUAGGUUCCCCCCACUGUGUGAGGGCACGAAGUGCGAGCUUUACUUACCUUUCAGUCCUUGCCACGCUGGUCUCCAAAGGAAAUCUCUGCCUCCUUGGCUGAGAUAAUCAAGACAAUGAUCUCAGCCAAUUCAAUGCUUUCAUACAGUACAUUAGGAGGCGAGUGUGCAUACACUGCGCCAAUCAGAUGGUCUCUAUUAUUAUUAUUGCCAUUUAUAUAGCACCAACAGAUUCCGUAGCGCUUUACAAUAUUAUGAGAAGCAGGAUUUAACUAUAAGUAGGACAAUUACAAGAAAACCUACAGGAAUGAUAGGUUGAAAAGGACCCUUCUCAAACAAGCUUACAGUCUAUAGGAGGUGGGGUAUAAAACACAUUAGGACAGGAAAUCAGACUCUCUGAUUGAAAUAACUGAGUCUAUUUUUUCGAAUGUGUCUGUCGGAGUUACAGGCACUAGAGGACUUUAAAAUAAAUUUUGAUUUGCAUUAAGGAGAUGAAAAUUAAAGGAACACUAUAGUCACCUAAACAACCUUUAGUUUAAUGAAGCAGUUUUAGUGUAUAAAUCAUGCUUCUCAGGUUUCACUGCUCAAUUCACUGCCAUUUAGGAGUUAAAGCACUUUGUUUCUGUGUAUGCAGCGCUUGUCACACCUCCCCUGGCUCUGAUUGACACAGCCUGCAUGAAAAAAACUGGUUUCACUUUCAAUCAGAUGUAAUUUACCUUAAACAAUUGUAUCUCUUUCUCUGUAAAUUGAACUUUAAUCACACACAGGAGGCUUUUGCAGGGUCUAGCAAGCUGUUAACAUAGCAGGGGAUAAGAAAAUCUAAAUUAAACAGAACUUGCAGUAAAGGAAGGAUAACUUUACAUGACUCUUAACAGGAAGUGUUUAGGAAGGCUGUGCAAGUCACAUGCAGGGAGGUGUGACUAGGGUUCACAAAGUGAUUUAACUACUAAAUGGCAGAGAAUUGAGCAGUUAGACUGCAGGGACAUGAUUUGUACACCAAAACUGCUUCAUUAAGCUAAAGUUGUUUAGUGUCCUUUUAAAUUUGUAAGUCUGAACACCCUGCCAGGACUCAUUUCAUCAUGUCAUAAUAUCUGCUUUUUCUUUUCUCCUUUUUUUGUUUGUUUUGUUUUCUAUUGACUAAUAUUCUGUAUCGGCAAACUAAUAUACUUAUAAUAUCUGAUCAUUGACCCUCUCUUCUAUCCCUCUUCAUUCGAUCACUUUUUUCACUCCCUUUUCCCGUCUAACCUUUAACAUACAGGAAUGCUCAUACUGACAAACUCAUAGAGACUUUUGUAAUGGUUUAUUUAUUUUUAUACUCAUCACUUUGAAUCCCUUGAAAAAUUCAAGCCUUUCCUGUUUUAUAUUUAACAGUGUUUUCCCACAACAACUUUCGCCACUAAGUCCAAAGUGUUUUAUUCACUAAUUCACUGACUGCAGAAAGUUGGCAUGCAAAUUACACAAUUUUAGCAAAAAAUAAAUAAAUAAGAAGAAAUAGCCAAUUGUCCAGUGUAGGUAUUUUCUUAUUUUGGUGAUCUUCAAUUCGCAACAACUCUGUAUUUUUUUCCCACAUUUUCUGGUUUGAUUUUCCAAAAUGUAGACACGCAAAGAUUUGAAUUUGGAAGCAAUUUGUGUAUUUUAGUGGUAACAUUGUGGUGUAUGAAAUGCAGAAUAUAGAAAACAAAAUGAAUAAUUGCCAGUAUAUUGUUAUAAAAUGGUAAUAUGAAAUAGCUCAUGGUAUGUAGCAUAUUGCUGUGUUGCCCAUUUAAUAUAAUGCUAUGUGUGAAGCCAGCCUAUGUGGUAAGAUGCCAUGCUAUGAGACCUUUGACCUCUGCCAGCUGUUCCUACUGAAUCCCCUCCCCCCCUCUAUGUCUCCUGCUGCAGAUCCUCCAAGCCUGCACCUUAUCCAGCUGCGGGAGGGGGCGGGGCUACCGCGUGUGUGACUGACAGCUCCUCCAGC
rnacentral:lncRNA from 1 species